UUUUUUUUUUAAGAUUCUGCUCCUCCAAAAUUUUAUAAUUUUAUCUUGGCCUCCUAAACAAAAUUUAUGAUUUUUCCCUUACAUAACGCAUAGUACAAUAAUGAUAAAUAAGAUACUAUAAAAUUAGUACAAUAAUGAUAAAUAAAACACUAUAAAAUAAUGCAUAAAUGACAUGUACGCAGAAUAAUAUUAAAAGAAGAAAAAGAUAAAUGGACAAUAACUGCAACACAAGAAGAAUUUAGCAAAAAAAGAAAAAACUAGAGAUGCAUCACUUAGAUCAAAUAGUUGAAAAUUGCAUUUUAAUACUACUGUUACCAAACCAACCUAACGAUGAACUUUGAUAAACCAAAAAACCACUGCCAAGAGACCCAUUGCAUCAACGACGCACAAAAGGCUAAGUCUAGAUAAUUUAUUCUUUUCCUUAUUAUCAUAUCAAAUUCCAAUUUUACAAAUUCAAUCAUUGUGCUCUAUCAUGAUAAGAUCCAUCGAGAAUAUUUCCCAAUAGAUUUGGCAACACCCUUACAUUAAAAAAUCUCAUAUAUACGCUAAAACAUGACUAGAAAUUAAAACUAAAACCACCACAACUUUUUAGAGAAAACUAAAUGGACAAACAAAAACUAUUGAAAGUGUAGAUAAAAACCAUGAUAAUGUGAAUUAACAUUAAAAGCAAAAGAAAAAAAAUAGAGAAUACUAUUAAAGAAACCGUGACCAACAACCAACCCAAAUGUUGACACUAUCGCUGCGAACAGAACAAAAAUUUGGUUUGAAAAGUUGAACCACUAAAGUUCUUUUUCCCAUGAAAAGUUAUUCCCUCAAUUCCAUAUUUUUGAUAGAUAUUAAUUUUCUAAAGAUAUAUAUCAUCAAGUUCGAGUACGAAGAAUAUAAUGCACUUUGUCAAUGCAUCGACACGUAUUAAAUCUAUCAAUAGAUAAUUAAUAUUCUAAAGAUAGUGAAGUUUGAUGAGAUAUUAUAAUUCAUAUAUCGAAUUGUAUUUGUAUAUUUUAUGGGAUUAAAAUCGUAUUUAAAAUAUUUUUAAAUUUUAAUACAUUUAUUAUUUAAAUAAUUUAAAUAUUGAUACAUUCCUUCCAUGUUGAUGUCAUUUUUAGUUUUUAUUUUCAUUUUAAUCAUGUAUUAGCUGCAUGAUAUUGAUAGCAUUUUUAGAUUAGCUUGAAAAAUUUUCAAGUAGAAUGUUUGAGGGGUUUAAGAAGAACAAAAUUUGAUCAAAAAGAGUACCCCACAAUACCAUAUGCAUGUCCUUUGGAUUUAAUAUGAACAAUUUUUUAUUGUUUAAUUGCUUUUGACACUUGUGCUUGAAUGGCAUCCAUUUAAUCAACAAUUGAAAUAAAAUAUAUAUACAUAUCUAUAUAUUAAUUUAUCAUUCGUUAUAUCACAUAAAAUUUAUAUAGAAAAACAUAAAUUUAUUUUUUAAUCGAUUUAACUAAUUUCAAUAAGGGGCGAAGCCAGAAAAAUUUUUUAGGGGCGGAUGAAAUUUUAAUUUUUUUAUAGUUUAUAUAUUUAUAAUUUGUAAAUGAUUAAAUCAAAUUUUUAUAAUUUUAGGGAGGUCAAAGUAUAAUUUUACUUUUACUAAUUUAAAAUUUUUAAAAAAUUUUAAAAACCUAAAAAAUAAUUUUAUAUUUUAAAGGACUUCGCCUUUGAUUUCAAUAUUAUAAAAUGGGAGAAAUUAAUUUUCAAAGAAAAAUAACAUAUUCGAUAAUCAAUUUAAUAGCAUAAUUUCCUAACUAGUUUUAGGUUUGGCUGUUGUGAAGGUGCAGUGGCUAUGAAUGUAUUGAUUAUCAAAACCAAACCUGAGUUUCAACAUUUGCCCCACUAACUAAUUUAUUUAAAUAUAUGUUUCCCCCAUUAGAAUGAAGAUAAUUUAAAACUUGGGUUGAUUGAGCAUCACAUUCACCUAGGGAGCUUUUUUUAAUUGGCUAAAGACAACUUUAACCUAAAGGCAGAUAACUAGCUUCAUCAACAUGUUAGUCAUUCAUUUGCAGCACCCAAAUCUAAGCAUGACAAUGGCACAUUCUUGUGAAACAUAUGUUUGUAGCUUUUGGAUGAAUUAGGCAUAUAUAGAAUAGAAUGGCUUAUCUGGUAUAUGUUCUGAUUGUCUUUUCUUUCUGUUCAUCUUUCCCCAUGGAAUUCUUACUUUACAAACAUGUUUUUCUGAUGCAAAUUUUGUAAUUAUUUUGGAAGGAUAUUAUGUUUUUCCCGUUUUGAGCAUAACAUAAACGUUAUGGGUUGCAUGAUUUGUGCAAACAAACAAGUUGAGAGCCUAACUUGUUUUUUAUUUUUUGCCUAUGAAGGGAUAAAUUCGAAGCCUGCCUAAUUUCAAUUACCAACAAACCUGGUUUCUUUCAAAACUAUGAACUUGUCUUGCAGAUUGAAGGGACAAGGUGGGGGUGACUGGUUGGGUUGGGCUAGGGGGUUUGGGAUUUGAACCUAAUAAUGGUUUACGGCUGCCAUUGAAACCAGCUAACCCCAACUUCUUUUCUCUGCCUUACAAUAUUUAUUUCCGAAUCUUUGACUUUUCCUUUCUUUAUAAUAUAUCUCAAUUUCAUUACUAAUUCUUUAUAGUGGAACUUGUUUUUCUUAUUUCUUUCUUCUUUUGUGUUUUUUGCUUUCAUUUUCCAAUUUUGUAAUUUUUAUUGGAAAUUAUAAAUACCUUUUGGUUUCAUGAAUCCAGUUGAAUAUAUAUAUAUAUAAAUUUAAAGUAUAGGAUAGAAAGAUAAUUUAAUAAUUUUGAAAUAUUUUCUAGUAAAAUAAAUUAACAAAGGUUUAAAAAAAUAUAUUCACUUCAACAUUAUAGCAAACCAUAAAUUAUCUUAAUGAAUUUCGUGAUUAAAUUUUAAAAUUCGAAAAUGUACAAACUAAGAAUAUUAAAUUAAAGUCCCAUAAAAAUAUUAAAAAUAUUUUACGGUUUUUAUAGGACUUUGGAUAUAAAAUAAAUUAAUUUAAUAAUAGUUAAUCAUAAUUGAAAUUUUAAAUUUUAAAAAAAUAUUUAAACUAAAAAUAAUUAAAUUAAAAUUCAAAGACUAAUUUUAUAAUUUACGCAUAAUAGGAGAAUAAGUAACAAAAAAAAACCCAUGUUUUUAUCAUUCUAAUUAACAAAACCAAGGACCUCAUAUUAUUAUUAUUAUUAUCUUUAUCUUUAUCUUUAUCAUUCUCAUUGUCGUCAGCAUCGUCCAGGUUGUUAUGGACAAACUCCUUGAAUAUUAAGAAAAUAUGACAUUAUGAUUCCAACUAAUAGCUUGAUUUGAUGGGUUUUUUUGUUUCUCUUUAUGCUUAAAUGUUUUGCGAGUUUUGUGGGUUUUUAUGGUAUUUUAGAAAUAAAAUAAAUUAAUUUUAAUAAAUUUAAUAGUUAUUGUUUGAUUAAAAUUAAAAUUUUAAGAUUUAAAUUAAAAAUAAUUAAAUUAAAAUUUAAAAAUUAAUUUUAUAAUUUACGCAUAAUACAAGAACCAAUAACUAAAAAUUACCCAUGUUUUUAUCAUUCUAAUCAACUAAAUUAAAGAAGUCAUAUUAUUAUUAUUUUUAUAAUUAUCAUUCUCAAUUAUUGUCAUAAUCGUCGUGGUUUUUAUGGAAAAAUUCCUUGAAUAUUAAAAAAAAAUGACAUUAUGACUUCAAUUAAUAGUCGGAUUUUAUGGUUUUGUUUUUUUAUUUUUUAUUUCUUUAUUCUUAAAUGUUUUGCGGCGUUUUACAGGAUUUUUUAAAUAAAAUAAAUUAUCUUUAACGGAUUUAAUAAUUAUUAUUUAAUUAAUAUAAAAUUUCAAAAUUUAAAAAGUUUAGAAAUUGGUAAAUUAUACAUAAUAUAAAGACCAACAACUUGACCCAUGUUUUUAUCAUUCAAAUCAACAAAACUAAAGACUCACAUUAUUAUCAUUAUCGCCAUUGUCGUGGUCGUUGAUGGCAAACUCUUUGAAUAGUAAGAAAUAUUACUCCAACUAAUACUUGAAUUUGAUGGUUUUUUUCUCUUUUUGUUGUUUUUAUAAAGCUAUUGUAAAUUAAGAUAAUUUAACUUAAGGAAUUUUAUAAUUAUUAUUUAAUUAGAAUUAAAUUUUUAAAAUACACGUAUUAAAAAUAAUAAAAUUAAAAUUUUAAGACUAAAUUUAUAACUUAUACAUAUUAUAGUAAAAUUUAACCCAUAUUUUUAUCAUUCUAAUCAACAAAACUAAGGACCUCACAUCAUCAUCAUCAUUGUCAUCGUCAUCGUCACCAUCAUCGUCAUUGUCGUCAUUUUCAUUGUGGUGGUAAUGGUUGACAAACUCUUUUAAUAUAGGUGCAUGUAUCAAAGAGGCUCCUCUAUUAUAGGGUUUUGAUCAAAUUAGUCCCUCUAUUAUUAAAUAGAUCAAUUUAAUCCCUAUACUAUAAAAAGAAUCAAAUAAGGCUAAAUUGAAAAAUUUUAAUAUUUUUAGAGUUUUUAUGGUUCUGUAAAUGAAAUUUUUUGUUUGAAAUUGAAUUCCAAUUGAAAAACAAAAUCAUUUUCAAGACAUUUUUUAUACAUAAUAUUAAUUUUUUUUAUAAUUAAGACUUUUUUUUAUAAUAUUUAAUUAAGACUUAUUUGAUACUUUUUAAUAGCAUAGGAAUUAAAUUGAUCCAUUUAUAAUAGAAGGACUAAUUUAAUUCAAUCCCUACAAUUGAUGGACUAAUUGAAAAUUUUGCAGUAUUUAUGAAGCUAUUGUGAAUUAAUAGGUGAUUAUUAUUAAACUAGAAUUUUUACCCGGUAUGCAAGGGGAUUUAAAUAAUUAAUUCAUAUUAAAUUAUAAUUAAAAUUAUUUUUUGCUAAUUUUCAUAUUUAAUUUACUAUUCAUGUUUAAAGUUCACGAUUGUCUCUCCCAGCAAUGUCGCAUUAUGGUUUGAUUAAUUUAAUAUCUUAAUGUUUUUAAUAAAUCAAUUUGAAACUAAUAUUUUUAAUAAUUUUUAGAGAAAAACUCGAGUUUAUCAUGUUGGCCUUUGUUUUUUUUUUUUGAAAAAUUAAAAUAGUGUUGUCAAUAUGUCGGGCAACACCAAUAAAAAAUAUAUUUUUUAUAUUUUUAAAUAAUCGUGUAUACAAUUGAAAAAACAAGUAUUUUUAAAGAAUACAUAUUAAUAAUGUCACUAUGUCAGGCGACAUCAAUAACUUUUUUUUUAACGCUAAGAUUACAUGAUGAUUAAAGAAAAAAAUAUGAUAGUGGCGCCAACCAGACAGUCGGCACUGAUAUGCAUUAUAAAAAAAACAUCUCAUUUUCAUAAUUAAUCUAUUUCUCGUAUCAUUUUUGUAUUUAAUUAUUUUUAUAGCAAAAACAUUUUUCUCCCAUGUGAUUGCGUCGUGCAUUCCACGCCCCACAAGUGCACGUGAAAGGCUCAUGGGGGUUUUCUUUCUCUCUUUAUUUAGGAAUAAUACCCAAAUUUUCCCCUUUUAAAAUCAUUCAACAAGUUCUCCAUUCAAUCUUGAAUUUCUUUUUCAUUAUUCUUUAAUUAUUAUUUUAAAUUUUCUAGUUGUAGCAAAUAAGUUGGGUGUUCAUCCACACCUAUUUUAUUUGAUUUUGACACCUCAAAACCUCUCAUUAUCUAACUUUAUAUAUAUAUAAACAUGUCAAAAUUAUAAAUAUUGCUUGGUUUGAAAAUUUUCACCAUGACUUAAGGAAUUUAUUUUUUUGUGAAUUACAGACAGCAACUAACGCGACUUGAAUCCAUAUCACACUUAAGACAUUAAACAUAUUUAACCAUCAGACCAAUACACAGGAUUCAAGAGAUUUAUUUAUUUUAGUAUGAAAGUAAACAUACAAUUAUAUUAAAUUUAAUACUUACCAUCGUAAAAAUUCUCUAAAUUUUAUUCGAUUUUGUUCUAAAAGUCAAAAGGUUUUGUUUUUAGUCAUAUGAAAAUAAUUUUUUUUCUUCUAAACAUGUGAGAGAUUAGGUAAUUGGAAACUUAGACAAGGAAAGAGAUCUUCGUUUGAAAAAUGGUGUCCUAUAUUUAUACCAAGAUUAGCAGGUAUAAUUUUAAAAAAGAAGUCAUAUAUUUAUACAGAGUGAGAUUUAAGCAUGAUGUUAAAGUUUUACUGUAAUAAUAUAUGAAAUUUAUGAAUUAAUAUAUACGAGUAUAUCUAUCACACGUAUAAUUUUUAAUUAAUUUUAAAUUGAAAUUUUUAUACAAUCACAAAGAAAUUUAAAUAAACCUAAACUUUUAAAAAUUCUAUAAAAUUUAAUGAUUAAAUUUAAAUGAUUUAUUAGAAAUGGAUAAGUAUUAGGUAAUAGGUGGGUAACAAAACGAUGUCACAUUCGAUAUUAAAUUGUCACGUUUAUUGUUUGGUUGUAGAAUGAUAUGGUCCAAAAUCAUGAGAUUGGUUUAUGUUGAUGAGUUGAUUUCCAUUUUUAUUCGGCCAAAACAGGAAAGGAUAGCCCCCAUAUGGGAGCCUAACGCCUUACAUAAGUUUGAAUUAAAUGUGAUCACAUGUUUGUUUCUUUGUUUUUUUUUUUUUUUUUGCUUUUUUUUACUUGCCACUCACGGAAAACUUUUCAAUCACCUUUAAUUUUGGGUAAUUUUAGAUACAUUUUUAGAAAUAAAAAUUAGAUUACGAAAAUUUAUAAUUGUUGGGGUCAAAAUUUAAACAAUUAUAACCCAUUUAAAAACAUUUUUAAACAAUUAUGUAAAUUCAUUUUAAUCCUUCUACUAAAAUUGAUUAGAAUUUAGUUUUUCACAUUAAAAAGUUAUUUAAAUUAUGACUUUUUUUAAAAAAUAUUAAUUAAUUACGAAAAUGGAGGAGAGAAAAAAAUUAUUUAAGAAAAUGAGUUUUUUGAAUAGUAUCAUCGGUGCCGCUUGACACAUUUGUGGCACCACUCCACUUUCUCCCCAAUCAUUAGCUUUUUUAAAAAUAAUUUUUUUUAUGCUGCUACAGUGUUAGGCGAUACUAAUAUGUAUUUUUAAUAAAUAUUUAAGAAAAUACGAAUAUAUUAGACUACAAAAUAUAUAUUUUUAAUGGGUACUUCCUAACAACUUGGCAACACCAUUUUAAUUUUUUUAAAAAAUUACGUCUUGAGAUGUGUACUUUUAAUUCUUGUAUUUUUUUUUCAACACUCCAAGUUAAAAUGUAGCUCAUUUAAAAUUUGAUUAACAACUUGAAUAGGAUUAAAAUCGUGAUGCAAUAACUUUCCUCACUUUUAUUCAUUUCUUUCUUUUUCUUUUCACCUUGAAUGCUUAUAUUUUUUAUUUUAUUUCUUUUCAUUGCAUGGGCUUCCACCCCUAACAUCCUUGAAUUUUUUUUCCCUUAGGCCACUUUUUUUUUUAAAAUUGCUUGACACACCAGCAACAUCAAUUAAAAAAUAUUUUUUUACUUUGACUAGUGUCGUUUGAUACAUCAACGGUAUUGUUUUUUUUUUGUUUUUAACAAGUAUACUCGUAUUUUUUUGAAUAUUUUUUAAAAAAAUAUAUAACAAUGUCACUUGACAUAAUAGUAGUAUCAAUUUUUUUUUUUAGAAUCAUUAUUGUUUGAUGAUUAGGGGAAAAGUGGGGUGGUGCUGCCUAAUACACCGAUGGAGACUGCUCAAAACAACCCAUUAUUGUAAUUUAUAUUUUUAUUUUUUUGUAAAAAAUCUAAAUUAUGACCACGUUACAUUACAAUUUAUCUUUAAGUUACUAACAAUUUAGAAAAAGAAAUCAUCCCCAAUCAAUUUACCUAUUACCUAACUCAACCCAUAAAAAACUUAAUCUUUUCAAAAAAAAAUCAUAUAUUUUUAAACUAUUAUAUAGUUAAAAAAAUUUAGACUUGAUGGAUUUUUUUUAGCCACGUGAUAAUUCAAAAAGGCAUAAAAUUUUUUAAGGGUGAUUAGAUUUUUUUAUAAGUCGAGUUAUGAAUUGCUAUGAUAUAUUUUUAAAAUCAAAAUAAAUUAUAAUAAAUAAAAAGUUCAGAUAACACUGAUACAAGUACAGCACGACAAAAAAAUACAAAACAAAGACCAUCAACAAAUUUCCAAAAAGAAAUCUCCAAACCCAUUUCUCUGUUAUUAAAAAAUAAUAAAAUAAAUUAUACAAAUAAAAAUGCUUGAAAAGAAAAAAGUUAUUUUUAUUAUUAUUAUUUUAAAAAAAUUAUAUUAAUAAAUAUGAACUACUUAUAUUUAAAAAAAUAGAUUCAAACUUUAAAAAUAAUAUUAUUGAAAUAAAAAUUCAAGUGAAUUUUAAAAUAAUCUUAUUCAUAAACCCAUAUUAUAAAGCUUAAUUAGUGGUAUUAUUCUUAAAAAAGGAAAGGUUAUGAAUUAUACAGGACUUAUAUGUGUCAUUCACGUGUAUGUAAUGUUAGUAAAGUUUAAAAUAUUAACAUUUUUAUUCAUUUUAAAAUGAUUUGACAAAAAAUAUAAAUUUAAAAAUUAAAAGACCAAAUAAGAGAUUAUGUCAAAUAAAAAAUUUGGUAUGACAUUUUUAGUCCAAAGAAAAAAAGAAAAUUAAAAAGAAUGCAUGUUCCACGUGCUUAAAUUAAAAUCAAAGAUCUUCUAACUGUUAUAUUAUUAUUUUAUAAAUUAAUUAUUUAUGUGUAUCUCGUUGUAGUGCGCUACUGUGUUUCUUUAAACAUUUUGAAAAAACGUUGGUGCCCACCGCUAACGCAAUCUCACUUUAUAUAUAUAGAGCCUUUGCUCGUACAACUAUUCCCCUCCCAUCCGUUUCUUCUUCUUUUGAAAUCCUUACGGAAACCUCAAAUAAGAUGAGACGAAACUGCAACUUGGAGCUUCGUCUCCAUCCUUCUAGUUAUUCCGGCGGCGACCGGUAUGUACUUCACUUUCUUCGGUGCUGCAUGUGUUGUUUUAUAUAAAAUGUUGGUUUAUACAUUGGGAGAAGCGAAUUAUGUUACGAUUUUUAUUUUUAUUUUUUUUGUUGAUGAUUGAAGGGUGGAAGAGAGCAGUGAAAACCCAGAAAAUCAACAGCAACAGUUAACGAUUUUCUACAAUGGAAGAGUUUGUGUUUGUGAUGUUACAGAGAUCCAGGUAUUUAAUAUUUAAAUUUUAUUUCUGUUCUUUAUAUAUACUCGACAUAUAAAUCCAAAAAACAAAGCUUUUUUAAUUUUGAAAAGAACUCCAUGCUUUGCGUGUUGUACCUUUUUGAAAUUCAUUAAAGUAGCGGCGGCGACUGUGUUUUCAUGGCGACAAGUUGCUUCACCCAAGCCCUGGGAGUAUAAAAAAUACAUAUAAAUGAUUUGGGUUUAAUUUAUUGGUUGUAAAGAUUUGAGAGUGAACUGGGAUGGAAUUUGGGCAGGCAAGAGCCAUUCUUAUGAUUGCAAACCGAGAAACGGAUGAACGACUAAGGACUCCGAGGCAGGGAUCGGAACCGGCUUCACCGAUGGUACACUCUCAGAUAAAUAGUCCGAAUAAUGGACUUUCCACAAGCAUGAAGAGAUCGCUUCAACGGUUCCUCCAAAAACGAAAGAAUCGAAUCCAAGCUACCUCUCCUUACCAUUAAUAUAUGUAUCCUUUGCUAUUUAGUGUAACUGAAGGAAUGGAUCCCAUCUUUUUUGGCUAGCAAUGACUACUAGUAACUAUUUCCAUCAAAGGAAAUUGCCCAUCAAAGGCUUUUUUUUCAUUUUCCUUUUUUUGUAAAUUUUGUAUGAGAUAUUGUAGUAGCUAGCUUCAUGAUCAUCAUGUAUUUUUACAUUUCUUUAUUCAAUUUUUUUUUAUAUGGACGCAAAAAACUAAACUUUCAAUAUGGCUGGUCCGAAAAUUGAACUGGUCAAAAGUAAUUGUAGGGUCAGUGUUAUAAUUACUUGAAGUUUAGUAGACUAUGGACCUCUAUUUCUGCCACGAGUUUCAAAUGUGUCUUUGUAAUUGUUUGAAUUUUGAUACAACUAAUUUCCUUUUUUUUUAAUCUUUUAUCAUCUUAUAAAAAAUUGGGUUAAUUUGUAUAUAUAAAGUUUAUAAAUCCCUUGUGUUGACUUAUGAUUAAAGUGUUCCUUGCUUCAAGUAGUAUGAGUUGCGCUGUUUAUAUACUAUAUCUUAUAAAUUUUACGUACAUGUAUUUUUAAUCUUCAAAGUCGAUUUUUUGUAUUAAUUUUGUCAAAAAAUUUAAUAUGGUUUCCAUUUUAGUCUUGAAUCCAAUUCAAUUUUUAGUUUUUUUUCCCUUAAUGGAUGGAAUAUCGAUGGUUCAGAAAAAAUAAUAUUGCAAUUAGUGAGAAGAAAGAGUGUUAGAGAUGGCUUGAUUGGAAAGGUCCACAGUCGGUAGCGUGGACUCUAGCUAAUCAUAGCUCCUCUCAUGCAAUAAACAUGGAAAAUUAUUUAAAUAAAAUAAACAUAAGAAUCUUUGUUAAAAGCCGACUUCAUUCUUCAAACACAACCCCACAAAUUAUUUUAUACAUACUUUUCCAUAUAGUAAAUUUAUGUUUUAAUUCAAAAUUUACUUCCAUAUAUUUAAAUAAAUUUAAUAUUUAUUAAUUGAGUCUUAGUUUAUUUAGUAUUAAUAUUGUUAUUCGUAUAAAAAAACGUGGAUUCGAAUAUAUUAAAGUGUUGUCUAACACGUUAGAGAAUAAAAAUAAAUAUAUAUAAAAUAAAAUAUAAAUAGAAUGAUUUAUAUUUAAUUUGUCAAAUAUAAAAAAUAAUCAAAACCGUAACAAAAGUUGAAAUCAAAAGGGAGAAUAUGGUACUUGGAGAAACGUUGGUUGAAUGUCUCCUAAAAUACAACAACAAAAAUGAUCAAAGCAGUAGCACAUCUGCAGCGAUCAACGGACAAACGUUGCUUUUUUCUAUCAUAGGAACGUUGAAAAAUAUGGAGAAGAAAAAGAAGAGUUUUGAGAGUAAAAGAUAUUAUUGCCGGUGCAAAAUGACGUAAGUUCAAUUUUAUUGAAGUGCAUUGUUCUUAGAAAGUGGUUUAUGAGUAGUUCUAGACAUUAUAAAAAAAAAAUCACGAAUUGUAAUGCUACACUCUUAUGAAAAGAAAUAAAUAAAAAAUGAUAUUUGAAUUUCAAUAUUUAUUUUUAAAUAAAUUUAGAUUUAAAAAGUUCAACAUCACUUAAUUUUCUCUGUCUUGAUUACGAUAUCGUUCUUUUAUAUAUAAAAGACUAGGUUCCAAAAAUGUGAAUUGUGAGAAUGUUGUGUGGGAUCGAGAUGUCACCUUCAAUGUCGGUGAAAAAUGCCAAAGGAAACUACCCCGAAGGUGUAUGUGUGAGAUUGAGAAAUUUGAUAGAAUAUAUAGAGAAAGAGGAGGGACGAAAGGUCUCAAAUAAUUCCAACAUUUAUAGAUUUAUUGAUUGUUUGUAUAUAUUUUACGCUUUACUUUUUGUCUCUCCUUUUAACUGUAAUUAGCAAAAUAAUUAUGAUGAUUAAUUUCACAUAUAUUCAUUUGAUUAUCAUGUCUAAUCAUGAUCUAAUUUUAGUGUAAAUCAAAUUUUAGAUAUGAUAUAUAAAAAAAAUAGUGUAAUUGAAAUUUAAGAGUGUCAUUUCUUUAUCAUUUAACACAUCAAUUUUAAGUUGUUUAUGCGGCAAGUACAAUUGUAUAAACAUGUUUCAAAUAAAAGUGAAGUCAAGAAUUUUAUACCAUUAAAAUAUUUGGGGGACUAAAUUUUUUAUGUUAAAAUAGAUUAAAUUAAAUUAUUCAUUUUUGGGAGAAGCCAACAAUGCAAAAUUUUCAUUUAAUUAGAGCUAAAACGAAUUAAAUUAAAUUUUUAAGAGAGACUAAAAAGAGUUGUGCAAUUUAAUCACUAGGCUCACGGCCUUAGGUAUAUCUCUUGUUUCAAUUUUGAUCUGCUUGUUUUAAAUAUGCUUCACAUCGAACUAACAUGUAAUUUCUAAAUUGAUGGGAAGCCUUCACUAUUACCAUAUUUAUAUUUUGAUUUCCCAAUUAGAAUGUUUUGAAAUUUCAAAAUUAAUUUGACAUCUAAACCAUAAUUAACAUAGUUCUAAUAGUGUUAACCCUAAUUUUAUUAACAAUUGGUCAUAUCAUUCUCGUGCAAUAACAUUAAAGACUAAUAUAUCAAAUUGGAAUAAUAAAAUUCAAGUAUGAAAUUGAAUAUUCAAGUUAAAUAUACCUCAAAUUUGGGUCUUCCUUGGAAAGUUUUCUUCUAUUAUAUAUAUACAUAUUAUUAAUAAUUAUUAGUUGUAAUGAUAAGACAUGUUAUAUUUUUAUAAAGAGAAUUUAGAUUUAACUUCUAAAGAUAAUAUUGAUGAAAGGAACAACUAUGAAGUUUGAAAUGGAUGAUUUUUUUUCUUUGAAAUUUCAUACAGUAAAUGGCUUUUAUACUCAGUUGACUCAAAAUAAUUAAUUAUUUAUAGAAAUAACCCAAGCCAAAACUUAUGUACGAAAAUGACCCGUUCUUCACAGUGCCUAUCGAUGCCACCUAACACACCAGUGGCACCGCCUCCCAAUGAUGAUCCAAUCAACAAUUUUUUUAAAAAAAUAAUUUUCUUGGGUGUUGCCACUGUGUCAAGUAGCAUCGGUCUUUAUAUUUCAAAAUACUCAUUAAAAAUACGAGUAUUCAGGAAGGGAAGAAAAAGAAAAAAAAUUAAUGUGUACUGCCAAUCUUUCAGGUGGCACCAGAGAAAAAAAAAUUAACGUGUACUGCCAAUCUUUCAGGUGGCACCAGAGAAAUUUAAAAAAAAAUGGAUGCCAUCGGUAUGUCAGUCGACACCAGUAAACAUUUAAAAAAAUUUUGUUGGUGCCGCCGGUAUGUCAAGCGACACCCGUUAAAGUUUUUUAGAAAAUAUAUUUUUUAGGUUUCGCUGUCGUGUCAGUCGGCACCGGUGAUAUUUAAAAAAAAUUUGUAGAAAGAAUAGUUCGAAACUUUGGUCAUUGUUUUAGAAGAUUUAAAGCGGACUACUAGGAGAUUUGAACUAUAGAAGCCAAUGAGAAGGAGGAAACCUCUUCUUUAGUGUUGAAUUCAACACGAAAAGCCACCGUGAAUGGUGACAUCAGUAGCUAUUGAGUAAAAUGUCUAGGGUUUUCAAUUAAAAAAAAGUAAAGAAAAAAAUAAAAUAAAAUAAAAACAAAAAAAGUACAAUUGAGUACAAGGGCUAAGGUUUUCAAUUGAGAAGAAAAAGGGAAAUUCAAAUGGGAAAGGAAAAGAGAGUAUAUGAAAAUAGAUAAUCAAUAGGAAAGGAAAGAGAAUAAAAAAUAUGGAAAAUAGAGAUAUGAAAAGGAAUUUAAUAUUUUAUUAUCUAUUUUCCAUAUAUGUUAUUUUUUUUCCUUUCUCAUAUUUAAUUCUGUAUUUUUCAUAUAUGUUAUUCUCUUUCCUUUUCUAUAUUUGAUUCUUUAUUUUCCAUAAAAUAUUAAAUUCCCUUUCAUAUCUCUAUUUUUCAUAUUUGUUAUUCGAUUUCCUUUCCUAUAUUUGAUUCUCUAUUUUCAACAAAAUAUUCAAUUCUCUUUCAUAUCUCUAUUGUUAUUCUCUUGCCUUUCUCAUAUUUGACAUUCAUUCUUUAGUUUCUCUAUUUUUCUCCCUGAUUUUUUUUUCUUACUCUCAUCUCAUUUAAGAUUUUUUUUGAAAUAAUAUUUCAUCCGCUGAUGAUGACACUGACAAGCCAAUAUGACAAGAACCGCAUAUGAAACAAGCAUCGGUUACGAGUUUCCCCCUUUAUUUUUUUCAAUUUUUCUUCUAUUUUAGUUGUUUCUUUUCAACUUUUUUUUUGUUUCACUUGUUUUUUUUAAUUCUUAUUGGUGUCCUCGGUGCACUGGUGUCGCCUGACGCACUGACGACACUGAUUUUUUUUUAAUUUACUGAUCAGUGUCAAUUGAUAGAUCGGCAGCACCUAUGAAAAUACAUAUUUUCUUUUUUUUCCUCUCUGAAUAUAUAUUUUUAAUGGGUAUUUUGAAUAUAUAUUUUUAACGGGUAUUUCGAAAAAUAUAGACUGGUGUUGCUUGACAGAAUGAAAACACCCAAAAAAUUAUAUUUAUUUAAAAAGCUAAUGAUUUGGUCAUCAUUGGGAGGCGGUGUUGGCGACACUGACGAACAUUGUAAAGCCUUAUACUUGGAAUUAAACAUGGACCUACUAAGUAGUGAGAGAGCUUGAGACCACUAAUUUUUUUGGAUAUAUAUUUAUAUAUAUUCACUAAUGGUCUGUUUGAUUAAUUAUUGAAAAAUUCAUUAACUAAAAAUUAAUAAUUUCUGUAAUUUAAUUUUUUAAAUGUAUUUGAUAAAUAAAAAUAAAAAUUAUUUGCUACAUUUUUCAAUAAAAAAACUUGAAAAUAAUAAGUAGAUAACAAGUACUUAUCACUUAAUGAAGAAUACUUUUAAGUUAAUUUAAUUUAUUUAUUUAUUUUGAAGACUAUUUAAUCAAUUGUAUAAUCAUUUAAAUUACUUAUUGUUAUAAAUAUAUUGAUAAACGGAUGCCCACAAUCCCCUCAAAUUUAUCCUAUUGUAACCUCUAAAGAAUGAAUGUUCAUGACCUUUAAAUUCAUUAUCUCGUAACACCUAAAUCAUUUAUAGGGUACGUUAAUGUUGGUCAUUAAUGUUUUAUAACUUAUGGUACUUGAAGCCCUAUAAUUAGAAGGCAUGUACAAGUUUAUUAUAUCUUAUAUUUCUUUCUCUUAAUCUUUGUAUUCUUCUUUUAGUUUUAUAAUAUGUUAUCACCAUGAGCCUCUACAAAGUUCAUAGUGAAAUUCACGUCAUUGCAACUAUAUAUAAGUUACCCGUAAAGCUCCUAUUGAACUAUAUAGGAAUAAGAAUAUUCAACAAAAUUUUGUUGGACCCAAGAUCAAUGGAGACAUAUGUCUUGCAGAUAGUGCUACAACACACACGAUACUCAAAAAAUAUUUUUCUCCUUUGACAAUAAAUGAUGCCCAUGUUAAUACAAACUAUAAGUUUUUAGAAUCACCUAUUUUUACUAUUUGGCAUGAACGGUUAGGCCAUUCCGGACCUAGUAUGAUGCGAAGAAUAAUCUAGAAUUCAAUUUGGCAACCAUUAAAGAACCAGAAGGUUCUUGAAUUCAAAGUAAAUUGAUUGUUAGACCAUCAUUAGCUAAAAUUAGGAUUGAAUCUUUUGCAUUUCUGGAACAUAUUCAAGGUGAUAUAUGUGGGCUCAUUCAUCCACCAUGUGGACCAUUCAUAUCAUUCAUGGUAUUGAUAGAUUCAUCUAGUAGGUGAUCACAUGUGUGCUUAUUAUCGAUUUACAACCUGACAUUUGUGGGACUACUUACUUAAAUAAUUCGAUUAAUAGCACAUUUUCAAGAUUAUGCAAUCAAAACUAUCUGUCUUGCUCGUGAGUUUACGCCUCAAGCUUUAAAUGAUUAUUGUAUGUCAAUAGGGAUAAAAGUUGAAUAUCCUGUAGCUCAUGUUAAAACACAAAAUAGUUUAGCUGAAUCGUUUAUCAAAUGUCUCCAACUAAUAGCUAGUGUAACACCUCUCACUCGUAUUCAACGUCAGAAUAAGGUUACGGAGCAUUACCAAACUUAUCACACAUUUAAACAUACAUCUUUCAUACAAUUAAUCUGUAACAGCCUAAUUUUCAGUGGUGUCGGAACAGUGAUUCGAGAUCACUAAAUCCGAAAAAUGAGUAGGAAAUAUUAUUAAUUUAGUGAGUAUAAGUUAAAUGUGAAGUUAGGAAAAAUUUUGAAAUAGUGAAUAGUGUACUAAAAAAUAUAUAUAUUAAAAUAAUUAGAAUCGAAAAUAAGGUAUCGAGACCUCGGAAAUUUUAAAUCAACCCAUAAAUAUUUUUAUAAAUAUUUAUGGAGUGUUAAUAAGUUAGUAUUAAAGUUUCGUCAAGAAAUUUUAAAGUACUGAUAGCUAAUUGAACAAAAAGGACUAAAUUGUAUCAAAUGCAAAAUUGUGGGAAAUGAUUAAAUAGCUUAAAUGAUAAAAGAAAGAGGGUUUAAAAGGUAAAUAGACCCAAGGUCUAUUUGGGCUGGACGGCAAGGGCAUGAAAUCAGCAAGAAAAUAAGGGAAAUUAAGGGCAAAUUUGGAAAAUUGCAAAAUUUACUUAAUAAAGCUAGGACUAAAGUGGAAUUAUCCAGAUUUCUCUUUAUUUUUCUGCAUUCUCAUCAGAAAAAACACCAUGGAAGAGUUCUCCUAAGCUGGUUUUUCAUAUUUUUACUGCAAGUAAGUUCAAUUCUUGAUUAUUUCUUGAAAUUUUUGUGUUUUCGUGACUUUUACAACUAGGUCCACUUGUUGAAUUCAUUAGUUCUUGAUUCUAUGAAAGAAAUUGAAAGUUUCUAUGAAUAUGUGCUGAAAGUAUAUGAUGAUUUAGCAUGGAAUUAGAGCUUUAAACUAAUUAUAUGCUGAUUUUAUUGAAAGAAUUGAAUAGAAAGUGAAUGUUUGGGACCUAAAUUGUAAAAGAGUUUAAAGUUAGAGUUUUAUGUAGAAAUUCUGAAUUUAAAUAGUUAUGAAAUAACUUAUAAUGUCUAGGAAAAGUAUUAAUUGAGAAAAUUAGCUUAAUUGAGGGGUUAAUUAAGUAAGGACUGAAUUGUAUGAACUGUGAAAUUUGGGGCAAAAUGAAAAUCAACAUUUUGCACUAAAAUAAUUUUGGACAGCAGCAAUAGUCUAAAUUUGAAAAAUCACCAAAAAUUUUAGAAAUCGAAUUAGAGGAUUAAUAAAAUAUGAAAUUAAAUCUUAUUGAGUCUAGUUUCUUAUAGAAGAAACAGUGUAAGCAAUGGAACUGUAAAUCAUGAGAUAUAAUAAGUUUUGUGAGACAAUGUCAGAAUGAUUUUGGGUUCCCCUGUUCUAACUUUGGAAAAUCAUAAAAAAUUGGAUAAAAAUAAUUAAGUUAUUAAAUUUAUAUGUUUAAAAUCUUUAAAGAGUCUAUUUUCAAUAUAAAUAAGCGGGAACAUCAUCCGAAUCUUGUACAAUGAGAUAAUUAAUUCUUAGUGAAGAAGGGUCGGAACUGUCAGAUAGCAGAACAGGGGUAACUUUAAAGAAUAAACUGUACUUAUUGCCUAAACCAAAAAUUCUGAAAAUUUUAUGGUAAUAAGAUAUGUAAGUCUAGUUUCAGGGAAAAUUAGCGGAUCUUAAUUUUGAGUUCUGUAUCUUAAGAUAUAAAUAAUUUAGUGACUAUGACGCAAAUGGAUAGUUUUGAAUAUACAUAUAAGUAAAUAGUGAAAUUAUUGAUAAUGUUACUUGUUGCAUGUUAUAUAAAUUAAGGAUGUGGAAUGGAGAGGAGGAGGAGGAAAAUAUGUAUGAAUAUUCACCUAGCAUGGCUAAUUUGCAUGUUUUAGGCUCAUGGACUAAAUUGAAUAAAAGUAAAAUUUUAUGGGAAAUUUUGUAAAAAAAUGUUAAAAAUGACCAAUUUGCAUGAAAUGGAUCAUUUUAUUAUUUAAAAAUACAAAAUUGAAUGAAAUUAUUAAUUUAGCUCAAGAUUAGGGAAAAACAUGUUCUAAGAUUAAAUUGAAAAGUGUUGAAAUUAUAGAAAAUUCUGAUAUUUUAUAGAAUUCAUGGGUUGUUAUCAAUUUUUUUGAGAAUAACGGCUGGAAAUAAGGAUUAGAUUGCAAGAAUUUUAUUUUAUUUUAACUUAAGGAUGAAAUCGUCAUUAAUUAAAAGUUUAGGGGUAAAAUGGUAAUUUUGUUUAGAGCAUUAGUUGAAUGUAUUACAACAUGAAAUAAAUGAAAACGACGAUCAAAUUUCUUUAUAAAGAUCCGGAUGACUCGAAUACAAGACUUGAACGUGGAAAAGAAAAGAUAUCGGAUUAAUGAAAUAUCUGAUAAAUAAAUCGGUAACUCCGGUAAUGCUCCGUAACUCUAUUCCGGUGACGGGUUCGGGUUAGGGGCGUUACAUAAUCAAUUCAUAAACAAUCCAAUCACAAUUAAACAUUUCCUCCCUAAUACGAGCCUACGAAGCCCUUAACAUGCAUUGGAAGUGGUUCAGGACUAAACCGAUAACUUUGGAAACUCAUAAAAUACUUAGACAAUUUUUCUCAAAAAAGGGGACACACACCUGUGUGGCCUGGCCGUGUGUCUCAUACGGCCAACAGACACGCCCGUGUGGCCCGACCGUGUGUCUCACAUGGCCAACAGAUACACCCGUGUCACAGGACAUGUGGACAUUCGAAAUGGAAAUACAUGGCCGUGUCCCAGCCUGUGUAACUCUUUGACUUGGGUCACACGGCCCACACACAUGCCUGUGUGCCCUAAAAAUGGCCAAACACGCCCAUGUGCCAAGCCGUGUACUAGGUCGUGCCAAUCUUGUAGGGUAUACUGACUUAUGCCACACGGCCAAGUCACAAGCCCGUGUGUAAGGCCGUGUGGAGCAUACCGACUUGGUUUCAAUUUCAAUGCCAGGGGACACACGGCCGUGUAACACAAUCGUGUGUCACACACAACUGAGACACAAGCCCGUGUUUCUUCCCGUGUGGACAAAAAAUAGGCUAUUUACCAAGCCAAAUUGCCACCCAACUUGUGCACACCUACACCAAACUCAAAUGGCACAAAAUACAACAUAUCAUAGGCAUUCAAUCAACUUCACUCAAGCAUAUUUCAUAUCAUUUCUAACAUCAACCAAUACAAAACAUAAAUACCACAAUAUGUCCUCCAAAUUCAUGCCAAAGUCAAAUGUGCCUUAAUGCCUAGAUUCACUAGCAUCCCAAUAUUCAUAAUUCAACUAUUUGCUAUCCAUACUAUUAACUAUUCACAAUCAUUACAUAUCGAAUAUUUUAAUCAUCAUACAAACCAUAUACACACAUAUGUAUUCAUGAUUCAAACAUACCAAAAUAAGCCAACUUAUAUAGCAUUAUACAAAAUCAAACUUAGAACAUUUAUAAGCCAAUUCAAAUGGCUAAAAACAUUAACAAAACAUAUGUCAAAAAGACCAAAGUCCCUAUACAUGCCAUAUGACCAAAACAUAAGCUCAAAAGUACCAAAUUGAUAGUUGGAUAGUGUGGUGGAGUCUCUGAUGGUCCCCGAAUCUGAGCUAGCUUUAAAUUCACUAUAAAACAUGAAAAAUUAAACAAAGUAAGCUUCAGAGCUUAGUAAGCUCAUAUAAAAAUAAUAAGCAAGCUUCACCAUUCAAUUACCAUUCAAAAUAAAUAACAAAACAUAAAACAAUCCCAAGCUUACAUGAACUUAAUCACAUACUUAAUCAUACACUCAAAACUUCUAUUGAUUCAAUGCUCGUAUAAUUUUCAGUACAUACCUGUACCAUUACUUAUCUAUUUCUCACCGAUUCAUAUCUUUAAUAUACCCGUUUAACCAUUCGGAAUAGAAGUCUGAUACUCAGGAGUCUCACAUACUAAGUGCCAAUAUCACGGCUCGAAGCCAACUCAAUAAAUCUCGUACCUGAAGUGCCUCAACAAUGUGCCCCAAAAAUCCAACUUCUCUGAGCCAAAACUCACAUUUAUUGAAUUUGGCAUAUAGUUUCUUAUCGCUCAAAGUUUGUAACACAAUCCUCAAAUGCUCAGCAUGCUUAGACUCAUUUUGCGAAUAGAUUAAAAUGUCAUCAAUCAACACCACAACGAAUUUGUCUAAAUACAGACUAAAAAUUCGAUUAAUCAAAUCCAUGAAAAUUACAGGAACAUUAGUCAAUUCGAAAGGCAUAACAAGGAAUUCAUAAUGUCCGUAUCUCAUUCUAAAUGCAGAUUUUCGCAUAUCUGAAUCUUUAACUAGCAACUGAUAAUAACGAGAUCUCACAUCAAUCUUCGAAAACACUGUUGCCCUUUUUAAUUGAUUGAACAAAUCAUCUAUUCUUGGUAACGGGUACUUGUUCUUUAUUGUAACCUUGUUAUGCUGUCGAUAGUCAAUACACAUUCUCAUUGACACAUCUUUCUUUUUUACGAAUAAUACUGGCGCACCGUAGGAUGAAAAACUAGGUCGCGCAAAACCUCUAUAUGUUAACUCUUGCAACUAAGAUUUCGACUCUUUCAAUUUAGUCGGUGCCAUUCUGUAUGGAGCUAUCGAUAUCGAUGAAAUUUUCGGUACUAACUUAAUAGUAAAUUCAACUUCUCUUAUCGGUGGUAACCCCGAUAAUUUUUCUAGAAAUACAUCCGGAUAUUCACAUACUAUAGGUACUGAUUUAAUUUUUAAUUCAGACACUUUUGUAUCAUCACAUAAGCAAGAUAAGCUUCGCAACACUUUUUCACAUAUCUUUGAGCUAACAUAGACGAAAUCACAACAGACAAUUCAUUCAAUUCAUCUAAUUCAAUUUGAAGAAUUUCAUUAUUCUAACAUUUUAAUUCAAUAGUCUUUUGUUUACAAUUCACAACGGCAUUAUGCAGAGUUAACCAAUCCAUUCCCAAAAUUACAUCGAACUCAUCAAACGGUAAUAGUAUCAAAUCAGCUGAAAAAUAGUAACCCCGAGCCAUUAGGGGACAGUUCUUGCAAACUUUAUCAACUAGAACAUACUUGCCAAAGGGGUUCAAUACUUUAAUAACAAACUCAGUAAACUCAACAGGCAAACUCUUACUAAACACUAAAUUCUCAAAAACAUACGAAUGAGUUGAUCAAGGAUCAAUUAAAGCAAUUACAUUAGUGUCGUAAAGAGAAAAUGUACUGGUGAUAACAUCUGGUGAUGACGCCUCUUCAUGAACGCGAAUAGCGUAAGCUCUAGCAGGUGCUCUGGCCUCAGAUCUCAUAGCAGAGCCUUUCGUCGUACCUCUACUACUGGUCACAUUUCCUGAAUUUCUCGGUGGCCUCCCUCUUGUGGCUGUAUUACCAGGUCUUGCAUUUUGGAAUUGAUCUUUCUUGGAUAACUCAGGACAAUCCCGAAUAAAAUGAUCUGGCGAAACAUAUUUGUAUCAAGCUUUAUUACUUUUAUUCCAACAUUCUCUAAAAUGUCGUCUCCCACACUGUUGACACUCAGGUUUAUUGUUUCUCACAUUGCCAACACUCGAUACUGAUGUUGCUUGAGUUUUAGAACUUAAGUAUUGUUUUCCACAAUAUCUGCUCGAAUGCCCAAUUGAAAUAUUUAGACGAUUGAACGAAUCUCUGGAUUUCUUUGACGAAAAUUGAUAUGACUUAUUCAAUGGUCUUUUUCUCGAAUCCCUAGCCUCUGAAUCUACUUUUCUCUUUUCUUUGCUAAGCUCAUCUGCUUUGCAAGCUCUAUCAACUAGGACAACAAAUUCUUUCAAUUCUAGGAUUCCAACUAGAAGUUUAAUAUCCUCGUUCAACCCGUCAACGGACCGUUUACACAUGAUUUCUUCAGUAGAAACAUACUCCCGAGCAUAUUUUCUCAACUGUACGAAUUCUCUUUCAUAUUCAGUCACAAUCAUACGACCCUGUUUCAAUUCUAAAAAUACUUUGUGCUUUUGAUAGAGGAACCACUGACUUACAUAUUUCUUCCGGAACUCAGCCUGAAAGAAUUCCCAAGUAACUCUUUCUCUCGGUACCACAGAUACUAAAGUAUUCCACCACUGAUAUGUAGUGUCCCUCAAUAAGGAAAUAGCAUACUUUAAACACUUAACUGGAGUCCACGACAGUUCGUCAAAUACUCGAAUAGUAUUUUCAAGCCAAAAUUCAGCUCUCUCGGGAUCAUUAUCAACGGUAGCUCUGAACUCUUCGGCCCCAUACUUUCAAAUCUUAUCAAAUAGAGGCUUAUUUACUCGUUAAAGUUCCACAACUUGAAGUGCUACGGGAACAAAUUGAAGAUUAGGUAGGGGUGGAGGUUGUUGAAAAGCCAAAUUUGUCUGGACAUAUUGUGUAAACCACUCGUUCAUCAUUCAGAAAAAGGCUAUUUUAGCCUCUCCUUCGUGACUACUUAUUAUAGGUCUAGAUUCAGACGACGCUGUCCCUUGAGCGGGAGCUGGCGCGUUACUCUCUACAUCGUCAACUAUAGCUCAAUCAAGAUCCAUUUACUAUACGAAAAACAUUUUAAAAUGUCAAGAGUCAUCACACUAACACAGGUUAUAUAUGCCAUAUAUAGCUAGACUCACACACACGUUACAUUAGUCUGAGAAUUGACUAAGCCGUAGCUCUGAUACCAAUAAAUAUAACACCCCUCACCCGUAUUCAACGCCAGAAUAGGAUUACGGAGCAUUACUGAACUUAUCACACAUUUAAACAUACAUCUUUCAUACAAUUAAUCAAUUCAUAAACAAUUCAAUCACAAUUAAACAUUUCGUCCCUAAUACUAGCCUACGAAGCCCUUAACAUGCAUUGGGAGUGGUUCGAGACUAAGCCGAUAACUUUAGAAACUCAUAUAAUACUUAGAAAAAUUUUCUCAAAACAGGGGACACACGCCCGUGUGGCUCAGCCGUGUGAGACACGCCCAUGUCACAGGCCGUGUGGACAUUCAAAAUGGAAACACAUGGCUGUGUCCCAGCCUAUGUCUGACCCUAUGUAACUCUCUGACUUGGAUCACACGAUCUACACACAAGCUCGUGUGCCCUAAAAAUGGCCAAACACGCUCGUGCACCAAGCUAUGUACUAGGCCGUGCCAAUCCUGUAGGGUAUAUUGACUUAUGCCACACAGCCAAGUCACACGCCCGUGUGAGAGGCUGUGUGGAGCAUACUGACUUGGCUUCAAUUUCAAUACCAGGGGAUACAUGGCUCUGUAACACAACUGUAUGUCACACAUGGCUGAGACACAUGUUCAUGUCUCUGCCCGUGUGGACAAAAAAUAGGCUAUUUACUAAGCCAAAUUGCCACCCAACUUGUGUACACCUACACCAAACUCAAAUGGCACAAAAUAUAGCAUAUCAUAGGCAUUCAAUCAACUUCACUCAAGCAUAUUUCAUAUCAUUUCUAACAUCAACCAAUACAAAACAUAAAUUCCACAAUAUAUCAUCCAAAUUCAUUCCAAAGUCAAAUGUGCCUUAAUGCCUAGAUUCACUAGCAUACCAAUAUUCAUAAUUCAACCAUUUGCUAUCCAUACUACUAACUAUCCACAAGCAUUACAUAUCCAAUAUUCAAAUAAUCACACAAACCAUAUACACAUAUAUGUAUUCAUGAUUCAAACAUACCAAAAUAAGCCAACUUAUAUAACAUUAUACAAAAUCAAACUUAGAACAUUUAUAAGCCAAUUCGAAUGGCUAAAAACAUUAACAAAACAUGUGUCAAAAUGACCAAAGUCCCUAUAAAUGCCAUAUAACCAAAACACAAGCUCAAAAAUACCAAAUUCACUAUAAAAUAUGGAAAAAUAAACAAAGUAAGCUUCCUAGCUUAGUAAUCUCGUAUGAAAAUAAUAAGCAAGCUUCACCAUUCAAUUACCAUUCAAAUUAAAUGACAAAACAUAAAACAAUGCAUUAAUCCCAAGCUUACAUGAACUUAAUCACAUACUUGAUCAUAAACUCACAACUUUUAUUGAUUCAAUGCUCGUAUAAUUUUUAGUACAUACCUGUACCAUUACUUAUCUAUUUCUCACCGAUUCAUAUCUUCAGUAUACUAGUUGAACCAUUCAGAAUAGAAGUCGGAUACUCAGGAGUCUCGCACACUAAGUGCCAAUAUCAUUGCCCGAAGCCAACUCAAUAAAUCUUACACCCGAAGUGUCGAUAUCAUAACCCAAAGCCAAAUCAAAGUAACUCGCACCCUAAGUGACGAUAUCAUGGCCCGAAGCUAAAUUAAAGUAACCCCUAAUGACAUGUCACUAGUAUCCUAAUCUAUUCCUAAUGUUCAACCAGGAUUUUCAAUGUCGAAUCAUCGUUGAACAUAUCCAUAGAGUCGAAUUCACAAUUCAUAUAAUACCAAAGCAUUUAAAACAUAAUUAUAUCAAUGCUUAUUACAUACGAACUUAUCUCAGACGUAGAAACGAUGACAUGAAUCAACUAAUGUGAUAAUUUGUUCUUCCCCCGAUCUAAGUCCGUAUUUCACUUUUCUUGAGCUAUAUAAUAUCAAAUUCAGCUUAUUUAAUUAUAUAUCUAUUCAAUUUAAUCCAAAACACUCAUUAAAGCAAUUUACACUUUUGCCCCUAUAAUUUUACAACUUUUACUAUUUAAUCCUUAUUUCAUAAAAACACAAAUCCAUGAAAUUCAAUACUAACCUAUGCUAGUUGAUUUUCAAAUAGGUCCCUAGUAGCCCAUAUUUUUCAUUUAUCUUACAUUUUAACCACAAUUUCUGCAUUUCACAAUUUAAUCCCUAAUUUGCAUUUUCACUAAAAAUCACUUAACAAAACUUGUAUAACUAUCGUCAAACAUUCAUAAUCUACCAUUAAACAUCAAAAUAAUCAUGAAUUCAUCAAUGGCAACAUCUAAAAUCUUUAACAGUUUUGCAAAAUAGUCCCUGGGCUAGCUAGACCUAGUUGCAACAAUCUCAAAAAUAUAGAAAUUAUUAAAAACAGAACAAAAAUCGUACCUUAAUUAGAGAUGAUAGUAUAACCGAAUGAAGAGAAUAAAAAUGGCUUCUUUUAGCCCUAAAUUUUUGAUGAUGAAGCUUAAUGAAGAUGAUGAUAUUAUGUUUUCUAUUAUUUUUACUUAAGUUAUUUGCAAAUUACUAAAUUAACCUUGUUAUUAAUUCAUUAAAAUUCAUUAAUCAUGUCCAUCUUUGUCCGCUCACACUAAUAUUGGUCUAAUUAAAACAUAAGGACCUCUAAUUUAAGAUUCCUUAGCUAUUAAAUACCUUUAACUAAUAGAACAUCACUUUUACACUUUACACGAUUUAGUCUUUUUUAUCAAAUUGACCAAUCAAACGAUAAAAUUUCUUAACGAAAAUUUCACACAAUAAUAUUUUCAUGCUGUGAACAUUAAAAUAAUAAUAAAAUAAAUAUUUUGACUUCGGGUUUUUGGUUUCGAAACCACUGUUCCAAUUUGACUAAAAACGGGUUGUUAUAGCUAGGCUAUUGCUUAUGAGAAAAAAACUCUUUGCUACAGCUUGGGGAUAUGCUAUUUUGCAUGUAGCAAUACUUGCGUGUAUCAAGCUAACAAUUUAUAAUAAAUACUCUUCAUUAAAAUUAGCUUUUGGUCGGGAGCCAAAUAUUUUGGCUUUUUUUUAUGAAAAUAACUCAAAAAUUUUAAUUAAUUAUAAAAAUAACCCACUUUUUUUAUUAUGUACAUAAAUGACCUAAAAUGAAUAAUGAAAGUUGGUGGAGCCAAAGAGAAUAGCACCACCAACUUGCCACGUCAACAAAUCAUUGACCGGUAGAAUAAAAAAAUUAUUUUUUUGGUGGAGCCAAUCUAUUUGGCGCCACCUAUAUAAAUACUAAUGUAAUACCUGUAUUUUUAAAUAUUUUGGGGUCAAAAUAUAAAUAAUAAUGGUGGAGCCGUAGAGAAUGGCACAACCAAUUUAGUAUGUCAAAGUGUUUUUUUUAAUUUAAAACUAAAAUUAAUAUUUUAUUUGAUGGAGCCAUUAAGAGUGGUGCCACCACCUCUAGUUUUUUUUAGUUUUUUAUUUAAUUUAAAACUAAAAUUACAUUUUGUCAGAAUGAAUCUUGGAUUGAACAAAAAAAAGGCAAUAAUUAAAACAAGUAAUACAAAUAGAAAAAGAACAAGAAAUCUAAAUUAAAGAUUAGAGACAAUUAAAUAAAAACAUAAUUCAAUAGCAAAGAAUGAAACAAGAUAGACGGAAAGUGGCGUGUAGAAGUCUUAAGGAGCCUUGAAAACUAGAUGAAUCUAUAACUCCCUUUAAAUAGCUCUAAUUUUCCUUCUAAGAAAGAAAACUUGACAAGAAAAAGCUUAAAGAUGAUUCUUAAAAUCUAAAAAAAUUGUUAAAACUAAAAGAGAAUUUUAUCAACUCAAAAGAGAAAAGAUGUUGAAUGAAUUAUGAAUGGUGUACAAUGAAGCCUUUAUAUAGGCUAGCUAAGUACAUCCAAAUAAAACUUUCAAUUAUACUAAAAAUCUAAUUAACUUAAACAAGAAGUAGCUUUAAACCAAACUUUCUUGUUGACAUAAAACUCCUAAAUAACUUAAAAUACUUAAAAACACAUCCAAAAUUCGAAAUAAAUAAAUAAUGAACCAAUACAAUCUAAUAAAUACAAUAUUAAACUCAUAUAUAAUAAAAAUUGAGCCUAAACAUCGAACCCCAUAUGAUUUAAAUUCGAAUUAAAAGCUUGAAACUCGUAAUUUCCGUCAUCAUCCCAUUCAGACACGUGGUCUUUACUAAAACGAUCAUACCUUAAGCUCUCGAACUUGAAGUUAAGUGAUUCAAAGUGCAUUAUGAAGCUAAGAGACAGAUCUUCGAUCGAUAUGAAGACAUAUUGAUCCACAAAUUCCCAAAUCCCUUCCAAAAAUGCACCGCAAGGUGACUAAUUAUAACAUGGCUAGGCGUGUGGGCUUUAUUGUGGUCCAUGAAGUAUAAUGCCUAAGCUUGCUAACACCUUCCAUAUGGGUUUGUUGUUAUGGAUUGAGAUUUUAAGUCCACGAACAAAAUUGAACCCUUCUAAUUCAUACUCACUCUGUAUUGAACUCCAUAGUCUAUCGUCUUGGAUCUUUAACUCUUUUUCUCAGAAUUUCUUCCUGAUAAAGUCUUGAACGAAUAAGUUGAGUUUUGACUUCAACUGUUUAGAUUUGGAUCUUGUGAUUGGGCCUUGAGGGAAUUUAAGCCCGUCUCCAUCAUGAACUUUGAAUUGGACUGGGCCACUUGUAUCAGAAAGUCUUUGAGAUGAUUUGGAUAAAAAUAUAAUGUUUGAUAAUAAGACUUGAAAAAAAAAUAGACCCACUUAAAUAUGGGCAACUCAAGUUUUAAUAUUCAAAGCCCGAGCUUGACCUUACCCGACUUGUUAUCAAAUUUAUAAUAUAAUUUUUUUUCUUUUUUCAUAUAUUAUGUAAUUUAUAUCAUUUUAAAAUAAAUAUAUUAUAUGAUAACGUAAAUGUUAAAAAACAUACUAAGUUAUUUAUGUUUAGAAAUUUAAUAAAAAAAUGUAAUGAUAGUAAAAAUACUAAAUAUUAAAUGAAAAUAAUGAACAUUUAAAUAAAUUUUGAUUAAUUAUUUGUAAUAUGAAUGAAUUCAAACAAAAUUCAAAGUUUAUAUUUCAAAUCCAAUUAAAUUUAAAGAAUUAUUCAUGAUAUUAAUACAAUACAUCAUUUUGAUCCAAAUCCAAUCUGACGUACACACUUCUACCAAUACCAUAUAUACGAAAGGACUAACUAAAUGAUCUUACUAGUUACUACACGAAAUAAAGAAGAUAAUUAUUAAUGGAACCCAAAUUAGGAUAAUGACAACGUGGAGACACAAUAUAAAGAAGACCGAUGACUAAAAUGUUGGGAAACCACUUUACUUUUUACAAAUAGUACAAGGAUGUUUUUAUGUAAUUAUUUCUAAAAAUAUAUUACAAUGUGUUUAAUUUGCAUAGUAAAGUGAUACUUUUUAAAGCACGCUCAAUCAAUUUAAUGUCUUUUCACCACGUCUAAAACUUUUUUGGUUCAACAUUUUUUACGAUAAUAGCACUUUUGUCAUGGGUAAAAAUAUAUAAAAAGAAAACUGCUAUAGUAUUUUGUAUUAUGAUUUAUUAUUAUUACUCGUAAUUUUACUUUUUUUUACUUGUAAAAAAUGUAAAAUUUUAAUACCAACGUAAUUAAUAUGAUUCGAACUUAUGCUAUAUUUGAAUGGUGAAUGCUCUGAUCAUAGAUUAACAUAUGAAAUUCAUAAUUUUAUAUAUUUUAAUUUAGUAUAAAUUAAUCAUGUAUUUGUAUUCAUAGUUUCCAAACAUUUCCCCCUCAAAUUCAAAUAGUUUUUAACCCCAAAAAUAAUUUCAAACAGGGUUACUUCUUCUAAGGUUCAAGCACUUGAAAUUGGACCUUUAUUUCAAAAUUUUGAAAAGAAAACAUAUUCCAUGAUUUUGAGGUGCUAGGGUAGGGCCAUAGAACUCUAUGAGAAAAGAAAGGGUAAGCAUUGAAACGUGGGCAACCGACCCCCACACUGACAUGAACCAACAAACUGUAACUUUAUCUUGAUUUUCUAUUAGAUUUCCCCUUUGUUUGAUGGUUCAAAGAUUUAUCCCAAUGCCACUAUAGAAAUAAUGAGUUAAUUUACAAUUUAUGAUUGUUAUUAAAUAUAUAUAUUUACUUGAGUUAAUUCUACAACACAUCUUUAAACUAACUUAAAUAUUAAAACAUUUUAAUUGAGUUUUUAAAGUACCAAAAUUUUAUCAAUAAAAUUUUUUUAUUAAUCCGAUAUCAACUUAAAUCUAACGUGAAACAUAUUUAUCAAUUAAGUCUUUAUAAUAUUUGAUUGAUUGGAAGCAGGAUAACUAAGUUCAUGGAUAGGUGUUAAAGAUCUUACAAAUAAGAACUGAAAUAUGAGUUGACGAAGUCUAUACUCCAAAAUACUCUCAAUACUGAACUCGGUGAAGAGUUCUUGGUGGUGUAGGAGGUAAGAGGAGAUUUUAACAUAGCAAUGAUAAAAUGAGGAAGAUGAUCGAGAAAGAAAUAGAACUUGGCUUUGGGAUUGCUUUAGGAGUUAUCUUUUGUCUAUAGAUGGAAGGGGAUUGGUUGAUCCUUUUUGCCUUUAGCCAGCAAGAUUGUAUCGCCUUGUAGUUUUUGUGUGCCAGUACUAGGCAAACACAUAUGUUUGGGGUUGCAAUGAGACUUCAAGCUUCCGUAUUUUAGGUUAACUUACUGCUAACUAUCAUUUGCUUGCGUUUUAAGUUCUAUAGACUACGUCACCUUUGAUCGUUUGGUCAAGUUAUAUAAUUCGAGAUAACAAAAUAAUAAGAAAUUUACUAUAUUAUUCUUGUAUUAUGAUUUAUAUAUAUAUAAUUUAUGACAUUUUUUUUGAUUAAAAAAAGAACAAAUUACAUCAAAGUAAAUUGAUCGAAAACUCCACUAAUUUUAUCUUGUUGAAGUAAAUCUGAGACCUCAAUCGGUGCUAUUUCAAGAACUUGCAACCUUGACCUCCAUGUUAAGCUUAACUUGACUAGAAAGUUAUCUACUAGAUUAUAUUCUCUAAGAACAAAUCUUAUCUUCCAUUGUCUUUUAGUUCUCAUAAUCUAUUUAAUCCUCUUAAUCACAAUGAUUCUUGAAUUAGUCAUCUCAUUGUUGCAUAAAAUUUCAACUACUUCCAGGUUAUCUAUUUAUAUAAUAGCCUUUUUGAUAUCUUUGUUGAGUAGAAUUAUAAAACCAUCUAAAAUAUCUUAUAAUUCAGCCUCAAAAGCUGUACAUCUUUCCAAAUAAUGACUCAACCUCAAAAUCCAAUUCCUAUAUUGAUCUCGCAAAACACCACCUCCCAAGCAUUCCCACUAUCUCUAGCUAUUGCACCAGCAGUACAGUUCCAAAUAAUUUUUGCCCUAAAAUUCUAACAAUGUUGACCCCAACAACAAUUUCAAACAAGUCUCAUUUCUUCAAAGGAUUAAGCACUUGAAAUUGGGCCUUUAUCAAUCUUCACAUUGGGUCAGGCCCCUAUAUAUAUCCUAAUCUAAUUUGUUAAAUUAUUUCAUAAUUUAGAAAGGAAAUAAAAAUGGAAGAUUCCAUGAUUUUCAGACGGCAGGGAAAGGCCAUAGCUCUAUAAGAAUAGAGAAGCUAAAGCAUUGAAACGUGGCCAACCGACCCCCACCUUGACAAUUAUUAUAUUUGCUUUGGAAUAUAAAAUUUAAUUAUUUGGUUAAUAAAAGGUAAGAUAUAUUUUAGUAAAUUAUUCUCAUAAAUUUACUAUUAUUUUUAUUCUUUAUUAAACAAUCAUUUAACCUUAAUAGUAAUUUAUUUUACUAAUAAAUUAAUGUGUUUCUCUUAUAAAUUAAUUUCAUUUAUUUUUUUAAAAAUAAAUUGAAAUUGAAGAAAAACGACAAGUAGAAAAUGGCAGGAAAAAUACAUGUUAUUAUUAUAAUUUAAAUUUAACCAAGUUAUAAAAAAUGGUAACAUUGUUAUAAAUAAAACAAUUUGAGACAAAAUGAAAUAGAUAAAAUAUAAUAUAACAAAUUAAAUAUUAAAUAUUCUUAUUUUAUGAUAAUAAUUAUAAUAAUAAAUAUAGUUUAAAUGUUACUUGAAAAUAUAUAAAAAUAAAUUUUAAUUAAUUAGUUAUUAUUAUUUUGUUCCAUUUUAAGUAAAAUAAAUCAAACUCAUUUAAAAUAAUGUAAAAAAAUCAUUAAAAAUUAUAAUAAAAUUUAUCAAAAAUUCACAUUAUCCUGGGAACAUAUUACUUGAAAGAAAAAUAUAUUGAAAUUACGCUUAUAUUAUUGAGAAUGUAAUCAUCUUUGAAAUCUAAAUGUUGACACCAUUUUUUGUUGAAAAACGGGGUCGACUUGGAUUUUGAAAAAAAGAAUGAAAACGGGAGUCGCCACCAAUCCUUUUUUGAUGAGGUGUGAUCGGGUCACCUCAAAAAGUGGUUGUUUUUAAUAAAUGAUUUAAUUUUAUUAAAACAACGAUUUUGGUCUACGAAAUUCAGAAAAAUGAGUUCGGGAAUCGGUUACGCACGAGGAAGGAUUAGCACCCUCGACAUGCCCAAAAUUGGUACCUUAGUUGAUUACAUAAUGUCUUAAUGUCGAAAAUUGAGAAUUUUGAAAAUUUUUAAAAAUUUUUACGAUCCUUAUAUUAAAACAUAAAAAAAAAUUCAGGAAAAGGGACAUAUUUCACGUUAUCUGAGAAAAAAAGAAUUAUAUCCAGUAAGUUAGGACACAAUGUCUCGAAUUCCCGAUAUCGUUUAAAACUCGAAUUUGAAAAGAUUCAUGUAAUAAAGUUUAAAAGAAUAUUCAAUUGUUUAAAUCAAAUAAAGAAAUCGCAACCCAAUACGUUAGGGCACAAUUUCUCAAAAUAUUAAACAUUGAAUAUUGCAUUUAUUUCGAAAAAUCCUUGUCUCGAGAAAGCAACGUGUCACAUCCAAUGCGUUAGGACACAACAUAUUAAAUUCUUGAUAACGAGCUUUUUAUCAUUUUUUUAAAGAGUAAUCUCGAUUAUUUAAAUUCAACGAAGAAAGUCGGAUCCCAAUGCAUUAGGGCUCGAUUCUCUCGAAGAUCUAAAUAUCGAAUAUUACUUUUAUUUUAAAAUUUCAUUUUUGGUCAAUCCGAUUGAAAAGAUACGAUGUGACAACAAUGAUGAUAAUGUAAGUAAAAUAACACGAGCAAAACAUAAGAUAAAUAAAUAAUAAAACGAAGAAAACAAUCAAAAAGGCACAAUAACAAAUAAUAAACAAAUAAAAACUAAAACAUGAAUAACAGGCAUUUAAACAAAUAAAUAAAUGAACAAAAUGAUCCAAAAAAAAAAUUAUGAAAAGUUAAAAGACAUAUAUAUAUGUACAAAAUUAUGAAAAUAUAAAAAAAACAUAUGUGUGUACACAUGAAUUAUAAACCAUAGAAAUAUCAUAAGAAAAUAUAAAUUUUUAAAAUAUAAGAGUAUGUAUAAAUACAUAUAUGCAUAUUUAUGAAAAAUAAAAGAGAUACAUGUAAGUACGUAUAUACAUAAAAAAUUUAAAAUGCAAAUAUAAAUAUAUUCAUGUAUAUAAGAAUAAUAAUAAAAGGCGUAUAUAUAUGCAUGUGAAUAUUAAGUAUGUACAUAUGAAUGUAUAUAAUAUAUAUAAACUAUAUAUAUAAAAAAAAUAUGGUAAUGAAAUAUAUACGCACUAUAUAUAUAUUUAAAACAUUUAGAAAUAAAAAUAUACACAUACAUUAUAAAGUACACAUGCGUGUAUGUAUGUAAGUAUAAUAAAAAAAUAAUAAUAGUAAUAAUAAUAAUAAUAAUAACUAUAUUAAUAAAAUAAACUAAAAACUUAAAAUGAAAGAUUAUGGAUUAAAUUGAAAAUAAUUGAAGUUUCAGGGGCAAAUCUGAAACAAACAAAACACCAAUGGAUCCAAUGGAACAUGCAGUUAACAGUGGAGGACCGAAAGUCAAAUUAAUCCCUCCGUCCAAAACUCCACGCAGCAAUGGAUUAAAAUAAAACAAAUUCGACAUUUCAUGGCAAAAUUUGAAAACAAACCGCAAUGAUUUUGAACUGAUGGGAUAAAAUGAAGGAUUAAAACGCAAAUAACCCAUCAGUGUUUAAAACCCUUUUCAUCUCCAAUUAAAAGCCUACUCUGCAGCAGCAAUAGACGCAAAGUUGCUUCAUCUUCCUUUUUUCUUUUUUUGUUUUAAAACAACAGAGGGAAGAAAGAGGGAUCUGCUAGGCCUUCUUUAAAGCCCUAACUACCGCCACGCCACCGCCUUUCAAGCUUCGCCGCCGACUCCGAUUCAGGUAAGUUUCGCCCUUUCCUUUUUUGCCUUUUCUUUUGCACCAAAAACAGAGAAGCAAAGAGAAAAAAAAUAAAAUAAAUAAAACACAAAGAAAAUUACCUUCAAAAAUUGUUUUUGAUUAUUUGUUUGUAUUUCAGUAUUUUUCCAAUACAAUAUUUUUCUCUUUUUAGUACCCAAUCCCCCUUUUCUUUGUGAUCGAUUUUGGCUUUUUAAAACCGAUCUAUAAAACAUUCAUUUCCUAUUUUUUGUUUUCGUUCUUUUGUUUAUUCUUUUCCCCAUUCCUCGCAUGCUUCCUUUUGCUGUUGUUUUUGUCUCUGUUGCAGGUGUGUCCGGUGUGGGUGGUGCACGUGAUGGCCAAGGGCAGAGGUAGCAUGGGGCGACUGAUCAGAGGCGUGCAUGCGUGAGGGGAGGUGAAGCGGCGGCAGCUACAAAGCAUGAGGCUAGGGUUUUUUUGUUUGGUUGAAAACUAGUAUAGUUUGGGCCAUUCGGGCCUCUAAGGUUUUUAUCAUUAUUAGGCAUUUGGAUUGGGUUUGUUUUUUGGGUUAAUUUUGUUGUAAUGGUCUGUUAAUUUUUAUUAGUCUUGGUCCAUUUGGGUUUUAUGGUCUGGGCCUGGGCAAAAAUGGGCUUUUACAGCUGCCCCUCUUUGCUCAUUUUCGUGUAACGAGAAUAGAGCAAAGACAUCAAAAGGGCCAAUUUUGCCCGGCCUUGCCGAGUCUUGACUUUUUGGUGCUCAUCUUUUUUAAGUAGCCUUAUUCCAGCCUGCUACGUCUUGUUGCUUCGAUCCACUCUACUGCAACUUCAGAUACGCCUUGUAGCUUCAAUCUACUCUGCUACGACUCCAUGGGGAUGAGAUUUGUGUUUUUAGUGUGCUCCACUACUAUUUAGGGAGAUAAGACUGGAUGUGAUCUGCUCCACUACUACUUAGGGAGAUAAGACUGUAAUCUUCAAUCUAUUCCACUGCCAAAUACAGGGAGAUAGAGUUAUCAGCUUCAAUGUACUCCACUGUAGUUACAGGAAGGUAAAAUCUGCCAUCUUCGAUCUACUCCACCACUAGUAUGGGAAGACAAGAUCUGUAUCUUGGAUCCACUUCCUAUCAAUAUAGGAAGAUAGGACCUGCUAUCUUCGAUCUACUUCACGCCAAUACAUGAAGACAAGAUCUGCUUUCUGCGAUCUACUUCGCCACCAAUAUGGGAAGACAAGAUCUGCAUCUUCGACCCACUUCCUAUCAAUAUAGGAAGAUAGGACCUGCUAUCUUCGAUCUACCUCACGCCAAUACAUGAAGACAAGAUCUGCUUUCUGCGAUCUACUUCGCCACCAAUAUGGGAAGACAAGAUCUGCAUCUUGGAUCCACUUCCUAUCAAUAUAAGAAGAUAGGACCUGCUAUCUUCGAUCUACUUCACGCCAAUACAUGAAGACAAGAUCUGCUUUCUGCGAUCUACUUCGCCACCAAUAUGGGAAGACAAGAUCUGCGUCGUCGAUCCACUUCCAAUCAUUAUAGAAAGAUAGGACCUGUUAUCUUUGAUCUACUUCACGCCAAUACAUGAAGACAAGAUCUACUUUCUGCGAUCUACUUCGCCACCAAUAUGGGAAAACAAGAUCUGCAUCUUGGAUCCACUUCCUAUCAAUAUAGAAAGAUAGGACCUGCUACCUUCGAUCUACUUCACGCCAAUACAUGAAGACAAGAUUUGCUUUCUUCGAUCUACUUCGCCACCAAUAUGGGAAGACAAGAUCUGCAUCUUCGAUCCACUUCCUACCAAUAUAGGAAGAUAGGACCUGCUACUUUCGAUCUACUUCACGCCAAUACAUGAAGACAAGAUCUGCUUUCUUCGAUCUACUUCGCCACCAAUAUGGGAAGACAAGAUCUGCAUCUUCGAUCUACUUCGCCACCAAUAUGGGAAGACAAGAUCUGCAUCUUCGAUCCAUUUCCUACCAAUAUAGGAAAACCGGAUCAGCUAUCUUCGACCUACUUCACGCCAAUACAUGAAGACAAGAUCUGCUUUCUUCGAUCUACUUCGCCACCAAUAUGGGAAGACAAGAUCUGCAUCUUCGAUCUACUUCGCCACCAAUAUGGGAAGACAAUAUCUGCAUCUUCGAUCCACUUCCUACCAAUAUAGGAAAACCGGAUCAGCUAUCUUCGACCUACUUCACGUCAAUACAUGAAGACAAGAUCUACUUUCUUCGAUCUACUUCUUGUCCCGGGAGAUAGAACUAUCAGCUUCAAUGUACUCCACUGUGGUCAGGGAGGUAAAAUCUGCCAUCUUUUGAUCUGCUUCGCUGCCAAAUACAGGAAGGCAAGAUCUGCAAUCUUCAAUCUAUUCCACUGCCAAAUACAGGGAGAUAGAGUUAUCGGCUUCAAUGUACUCCACUGUAGUCACAUGGAGGUAAAAUCUGCCAUAUUUGAUCUUCAAUCUAUUCCACUGCCAAAUGCAGGGAGAUAGAGUUAUCGGCUUCAAUAUACUCCACUGUAAUCAGGGAGGUAAAAUCUGCCAUCUUUGAUCUGCUUCGCUGUCAAAUUCAGGAAGGCAAGAUCUGCAAUCUUCAAUCUGCUCUGCUACAAACGAGAGAGGCAAGGUUUGUCUUUGAUUUUUACUGAUCUGUUCUCUAGGGAACAUGACCUGUAUAAUGAACCUAAUUAUGCCUAAUGAUUAGGAUGGCAUGAUCAGAAUGGAUCAAAUGUUCCUAACUAGAUGUGCGUGAAUGACAUUUGAAUGAAUGCAGAAUGUCAUGAAAAUGAUUCCUUAAUGCUUAGGUUGUCAUUCCUCAUUGUUCAUCAAGGUUCUAUCACUGAUGCCUUCUUGUUCAGCCAGUACCUUUGAUAGAAAACCUAAAGAAAUAGACGCUAUUUAGACUAUCAUUUCUCAAAUGUUUCCAACCCUUAGGUUUGGUUAGUUCUAAACAAUAGUCUUGUUUCAGGUCCUCGUAUUAUUUAGAAACUUUCAGAGUAAUAUGCAGAACUCCUUCUGCCUGUGUAUUGUCAGUCCAUUAAUCGUUAUUUCAAUGAAAAAUGCUUGAAAAAGAUUAUCAAAAUGGACAAAAUGAAAUUUUGUUGAGAGCAAAGCUCUUAAACAAACAAAUCAAUCAAGAUAGCAAAUUUUGCUGAGAUACGAGAUGAAUAAGAUGAAAAAGAUUAUCACAAUGGAUAAGACGAAAAUUUGUUGAGAGCAAAGCUCUAAAUGAACAAAUUAAUCAAGAUAGCAAAUUUUGCUAAAGUACAGAACGAGGAUAAAUUAAUCAAGAUGAUGUAUUUUGUCAAAAAUACAAAAAAUGAAUAAAAUGGAAAUAGGUGCCCCAGAUAUCGUAGCAUGAGCUUCUCUGCCCCAAACUUCUUAAGGACCCUUUUGAACUUGAUAUGUGUUUAGAAGUCCUAGAAGGCUUUGUUGAUGCCCCAUCUUUGAUCGAAAACUACUUUAUGCCUCAUCUUUGAUCGAAAAUUUGAAUUGCCCAUUCCUGGGUUUUCAAUUCAAAACCCCUUUGGUCUCAAGGUGCCCUUUGCGGGUUUUCGCCUUGGCCUCUCCUUUUUUUUUUUAGGCAAAGUACCUCUUCACUGAAUCCGAAUUCACAGGAUUGGGCAAGCUUUUGCCAUCCAUCCCAGUUAAAAUUAAUGCCCCUCCUGAAAAGGCCUUUUUUACUACAUAAGGUCCCUCCCAGUUUGGCAUCCACUUUCCUCUGAAGUCUUUUUGUAUGGGAAGGAUCUUCUUCAGUACCAAAUCCCCUUCAUGGAAGUUUCUAGGACGAACUUUCUUAUUGUAAGCUCGCAUCAUUUGUUUCUGGUACAUUUGACCAUGACGGAUAGCUCUUAACCUCCUUUCUUCAAUCAAGUUCAGCUGAUCAUAUCGGGAUUGGACCCAUUCUGCUUCGUCUAACUUUAGUUCUGAAAAAACUCGGAGGGAGGGAAUUUUAACCUCAAUUGGUAGCACUGCCUCCAUUCCAUAAACCAAAGAGAAUGGUGUUGCCCCGGUAGAAGUCCUGACGGACGUUCGAUAAGCAUAGAGGGCGAAUGGCAACUUCUCGUGCCAAUCUCUAUAGGUCUCAGUCAUUUUCUCCACAAUCCUUUUGAUAUUUUUAUUGGCUGCCUCCACCGCACCAUUCAUCUUUGGACGGUAUGGUGAUGAGUUGUGGUGCUUGAUAUUGAAUUGACUACAAACCUCUACUAUCGUGCUAUUAUUCAAAUUUAAUGCGUUGUCAGAUAUAAUCCUUUCGGGCAUUCCAUACCGACAUAUGAUUUCCUUUUUUAAAAACCUGCUGACAGCUGCCUUUGUGACGUUCGCGUAAGAAGUAGCCUCUACCCACUUAGUAAAGUAGUCAAUCACUACAAAAAUGAAACGAUGUCCGUUUGAAGCCUUUGGCGAUAUCAGCCCAAUGACGUCCAUGCCCCACAUGGAGAAAGGCCAUGGGGAAGUCAUGACGUGAAGAGGUGAUGGAGGCACAUGGAUUUUGUCUCCGUAAAUCUGGCAUUUAUGGCACUUCUUAGCAUAUUUGAUGCAGUCUCCUUCCAUGGUAGACCAAUAAUAUCCAAAUCUCAUGAUUUGUCUGGCCAUUGUGAAACCGUUAGCGUGUGUUCCACAAAUACCAUCAUGGACUUCUUCCAAGAUCUGUUUGGCCUCCACAGCGUCCACACAUCUUAACAGCACCUGAUCUUUUCCUCCUUUGUACAGGAUCUCUCCAUCUAAGACGUAAUCACUGGCCAGCCUCCUCAACAUUCUCUUGUCAUUCUCAGUUGCUUGGUUUGGGUAUUCACGAUUUUUCACGUAUCGCAAUAUGUCCUGGUACCAAGGGUUGUCGUCCUUUUCUUCUUCCUUGUCAAUGUUACAACAGUGGGCUGGAGCAUCAUAAAUGCUCAUUUGGAUAGGUUUCACAUCCUCUGGUCUAUUUACUUUGAUCAUGGAAGCUAAUGUAGCUAAAGCGUCAGCCAUCUGAUUCUCGUCUCGUGGGAGGUAACAAAAAGUGAUGUCGUCAAACUCCUCAAUCAAUUCUAGGACUAUCAUUCGGAAACUAAUCAACUUAGGGUCUCUUGUUUCCCAUUCGCCUUUGAGCUGAUAAAUUACCAAUGCCGAAUCCCCACAUACCUCAAGUACCUUGAUUUUGCGUUCCAUAGCCGCACGGAUUCCCAUUAUACAUGCUUCAUAUUUCGCCAUGUUAUUUGCGUAAUCAAAAUCUAGUUUACUGGUGAAAGGAUAAUGAUCACCGUUUGGAGAUACCAAGACUGCCCCAAUCCCGUUGCCCAUGGCAUUUGAGGCUCCGUCAAAAUUUAAUUUCCAAGUAUUGCCUUCUUGUGUGCUUGCUUCAGUAGUUGCCACAUACAUCAGAUCCUCAUUUGGGAAAUCAAAGUUCAAAGGCUCAUAAUCGUCCAGGGUUCUACUUGCUAGAAAAUCUGCUAUCGCGCUCCCUUUUACAGCCUUUUGAUUCACAUAGGUUAUGUCAAAUUCAGAUAGUAGAAUUUGCCAUCGGGCCAUCCUUCCGUUUAGAGCAGUUGACUCCAUCAUGUAUUUCAGAAGGUCUAACUUUGAGAUUAACCAAGUCGUAUGGUACAACAUGUAUUGUUUCAAUCUCCGAGUAGUCCAAACCAAUGCGCAACAUAAUUUUUCAAUUGGCGAAUAUCUCGUUUCGUAUUCAGUGAACUUCUUACUGAGAUAAUAGAUCGCUCUUUCCUUUCGUCCUGACUCAUCAUGUUGGCCGAGCACGCACCCCAUAGAAUUCUCAAAUACUGCCAAGUAUAGUAUCAGUGGCUUGUCAGGGCAAGGUGGCAUCAGUACUGGGGCGUUGGACAAGUAAUGUUUAACUCUUUCGAAAGUUUUCUGGCACUCUUUAUCCCAUACACCUGGAUUGUGUUUCCUACGAAGACGGAAUAUGGGGUCACAUUUCUUAGUUAAUUGUGAAAUGAAUCGAGCGAUGUAAUUUAGUCUUCCUAGGAAACCCCGAACUUCUUUUUGAGUACUUGGCGGAGAUAAUUCUUGUAUGGCCUUAACUUUGUCUGGGUCAAUUUCAAUUCCUUUUUCGCUGACUAAGAAUCCUAGCAAUUUUCCUGAUCUAGCCCCGAAAGUACACUUGGCUGGGUUAAGUUUUAGCUGGAACUUCCUUAACCUUAGAAACAGUUUUCUCAGAACUUGCACGUGUUCCCCUUCUGUUCUGGAUUUUGCGAUCAUAUCAUCAACAUAAACUUCUAUCUCUUUAUGCAUCAUAUCAUGGAAUAAUGCUACCAUGGCUCUCUGAUACGUUGCUCCCGCAUUUUUCAAUCCAAAAGGCAUCACUUUAUAACAAAACGUCCCCCACAUCGUUAUGAAUGUGGUAUUCUCCCUGUCUUCAGAAAGCAUCUUAAUUUGGUUGUACCCGGAGAAACCAUCCAUGAAAGAGAACAGUGAGUAUCCGGCCGUGUUGUCUACCAAGGUAUCGAUAUGAGGCAGUGGGAAAUUAUCUUUUGGGCUGGCUUUGUUCAAGUCUCUGUAGUCCACACACAUUCGCACCUUCCCAUCUUUCUUAGGAACAGAGACUAUAUUGGCUACCCAUUCUGAGUACUUGACCACCUGUAAGAAACCAGCAUCAAAUUGCUUCUUAACUUCUUCCUUUAUUUUUAGCAAGACAUCAGGCCUCAUCCUUCGGAGCUUUUGUUGGACUGGUUUGCAUUCUUCUUUUAUAGGCAAUCGGUGUACCACGAUAUCAGUACUUAACCCUGGCAUAUCUUGGUAGGACCACGCGAAGACAUCUUUAAACUCUUGAAGCAACUCAACAAGGUCUUGCCUUGUUUCCUUGGCAAUGCAAGCGCCAAUUUUUACCUCUCUGCCCUCUUCUAAGAUCACAACUUCUACUGAUUCCUUAUAGGGUAGAAUUUGUUUUUCUUCUUCUUCCAUCAUUCUUAACAAAUCCGGAGAUAAAACGCUGUCUUGGUCACCUUCAAAAUCUUGAGGAUCAUCUAUACUCAUGUCUUGCUCAAAUAGGGACUCUGAAUUAGUAACAGAGUCACUCAUCUCGUUGAUAUCUGAAGACCUGUUAUUGGAACAAAUGGAGGCCCAAAUAAAAGGAUCUAAGAAUACUUGUAUGCAUAUUAUGAUUAUAAAGGGAAUGAAAAGAAUGAAAGAAUAUUUGCUCAAGAUGAAACUGAAUGAUAAGUUUUCACUGAAAUUAGAUUUUGGACAUGUGCCUUUUACAAAAGAUUCUUAUCACCCCCAGGCUUAGGGCAACACGUGUUCUGAAUAUUACUCUAGAUUAGCUCUAAAAAUACAGGGAUCUCUUCCACAGUCCCAUUGUUCAAAACACUCCUAAAUAUGCAAAAGUUUGGAGACUUUUAUUCCUCAGUUCCCUUUUCGGAUAUAUCAUUGAAAUUCCUCGAUAUUCCUUUCAGGCUUUUGACUUGUUCAAGGCAUUACAACUCUUUGCUCAUUAUCGUGUAACGUAAAGAUGCCUAGUCAUUUGACUUUUGUCGGUUUCCAAGUUAACUGGGAUAAUUUUACCUAAUUAGGGUCCUUUUAGGGAAAGUCUAAUGCAAAAUAAAGCAAUGCAAUGCAAAUGCAUGAAAUGAAUGCAAAAGAAAGGAAGGCGUUGAUUCUAAAUUUAAUUCUAUUAGAAUAAUUUUUCUAAAAAAUAGAUUUUUUUACAUGAAAAUAGUUUACAUAUGUGGUAUUGCCCUUCAUAGUCCAAGUAAACGCUGAUAUUUUCUUCAUGGUUAAACCCUGUAAAUUCUCCAAAAGAUGCAUUUGCUAGCUCCUUACUGCUUAAUCUGAGCCUCGAUCUCUUGCUCGCUUAUCUUCAAGAUACUCAUCAAAAAGUGCCAGCUCUUGGAUAAUCUUCGUUGGCAAUUAAAUCAAGUCAUGUAUUCCUUCGUGGACUUCCGGCUUUCUCUCGUCAUGCCUUCGUUGGCUUGAAUCUCUAGAAAUUACAUUAUGUAUUCCUCCGUGAACUACCAGCUUUCUCUCAUCGUGUUUACUCAGACUAUAUUCAGACGACCGCACUAUAAUCCACUUUAUCAAGAAAUUCGCUUCCUUAUGACAAACUAUUCUAUUUAGGAAUCGAAUUUCGAAUCAACACAUUCUUUUCUUUGAUGUAAUGCAAAUACAUGAAUGCAAAAAAAAAGGAAGACAUUGAUUCUGAAUUUAAUUUCAUUGGAACAACUUUUCUAGAAAACAAAUUCCUUUACAUAAAACGGACUACAUACACGGUCUUUCUCUCAUAUUCCAAGUGAAGACACCUUUCUUCCUCUUCAUAUCUGGAUCUUAUGGUCGAGUCUGACGAAUUCUCCAAGAGAUGUCUAUAUUAACUCCUUUUUUGCUUGAUCCAGGCUGCGACUCGUUGCUCACUUAUUUCUAUGAUACUUUUCAGCUCUUUUAAGAAAGUCAAGACAUGACAGCUCUCGAAUAAUCUUUGUUAGUUUCUGUCUUUAGGCAAUGAAGCAAAGUCUUGUAUUUCUUCACGGACUAUCAGCCUUCUUUCAUGUAUUCACUUGGACCAUAUUUAGACAACCGUGUUAUAAUCCACUUUAUCAAAAAAAAUUGUUUUCUUAUGACAAACUGUUCUAUUUAGCAAUCAAAUAUGAAUCAACACCUCCUUCCUAGGAUGAUGUAAUACAAUGCAAUUAUAAACAAAAAAAACAAAACACGUUAGUGCAGAAUAAAUAACAAAUAAAGCAAUUCGGGUGACCACUAGGGGUUUGGAGUGGCUCUACGUAGGGUAGGCUCCUAGGUCUCUCUAUAUGUGGUUUGGUUCUUGAGUAAGGGUACCUGAACCAACAGAUUCCUCGAUCCUCACCCAUUAUAGGCUCAUAUGGACCGAGUUCAGUUCAGGGGAAUACAUUUCCCUAUGGCCAUGCGGAGAUGAAAAUCUCACGAAGACAUAGGUACGGAUGUAUCCCGGAAGCGAUUCACUAUCCCAUGCGGAGGUGAAAACCUCACGAAGGCGUAGUUUCUCACUCCCACUAAAAAGGGUAUGACCAGCGGUCAUGCAAUGUAAUGUGCGAAGGUAUAAAAUAAAAUACAGAACACGAUAAAAAAUAUAACUCAGAACAAAAGAGAUGCAAUGAGAGGAUCGUAAAUUUAAAUCGAAUUUUCAACUUUCGACAAAAGACAAGAAAUAAUCAACACGUGGCUUGACUCUCUUAUUGUCCCCAGUGGAGUCGCCAAGCUGUUGACACCAUUUUUUUGUUAAAAAACGGGGUCGACUUGGAUUUUGAAAAAAAGAAUGAAAACGGGAGUCGCCACCAAUCCUUUUUUGAUGAGGUGUGAUCAGGUCACCUCAAAAAGUGGUUGUUUUUAAUAAAUGAUUUAAUUUUAUUAAAACAACGAUUUUGGUCUACGAAAUUUAGAAAAAUGAGUUCGGGAAUCGGUUACGCACGAGGAAGGAUUAGCACCCUCGACACGCCCAAAAUUGGUACCUUAGUUGAUUACAUAAUGUCUUAAUGUCGAAAAUUGAGAAUUUUGAAAAUUUUUAAAAAUUUUUACGAUCCUUAUAUUAAAACAUAAAAAAAAAUUCAGGAAAAGGGACAUAUUUCACGUUAUCUGAGAAAAAAAGAAUCAUAUCCAGUAAGUUAGGACACAAUGUCUCGAAUUCCCGAUAUCGUUUAAAACUCGAAUUUGAAAAGAUUCAUGUAAUAAAGUUUAAAAGAAUAUUCAAUUGUUUAAAUCAAAUAAAGAAAUCGCAACCCAAUACGUUAGGGCACAAUUUCUCAAAAUAUUAAACAUUGAAUAUUGCAUUUAUUUCGAAAAAUCCUUGUCUCGAGAAAGCAACGUGUCACAUCCAAUGCGUUAGGACACAACAUAUUAAAUUCUUGAUAACGAGCUUUUUAUCAUUUUUUUAAAGAGUAAUCUCGAUUAUUUAAAUUCAACGAAGAAAGUCGGAACCCAAUGCAUUAGGGCUCGAUUCUCUCGAAGAUCUAAAUAUCGAAUAUUACUUUUAUUUUAAAAUUUCAUUUUUGGCCAAUCCGAUUGAAAAGAUACGAUGUGACAACAAUGAUGAUAAUGUAAGUAAAAUAACACGAGCAAAACAUAAGAUAAAUAAAUAAUAAAACGAAGAAAACAAUCAAAAAGGCACAAUAACAAAUAAUAAACAAAUAAAAACUAAAACAUGAAUAACAAGCAUUUAAACAAAUAAAUAAAUGAACAAAAUGAUCCAAAAAAAAAUUAUGAAAAGUUAAAAGACAUAUAUAUAUGUACAAAAUUAUGAAAAUAUAAAAAAAAAACAUAUGUGUGUACACAUGAAUUAUAAACCAUAGAAAUAUCAUAAGAAAAUAUAAAUUUUUAAAAUAUAAGAGUAUGUAUAAAUACAUAUAUGCAUAUUUAUGAAAAAUAAAAGAGAUACAUGUAAGUACGUAUAUACAUAAAAAAUUUAAAAUGCAAAUAUAAAUAUAUUCAUGUAUAUAAGAAUAAUAAUAAAAGGCGUAUAUAUAUGCAUGUGAAUAUUAAGUAUGUACAUAUGAAUGUAUAUAAUAUAUAUAUAAACUAUAUAUAUAAAAAAAAUAUGGUAAUGAAAUAUAUACGCACUAUAUAUAUUUAAAACAUUUAGAAAUAAAAAUAUACACAUACAUUAUAAAGUACACAUGCGUGUAUGUAUGUAAGUAUAAUAAAAAAAUAAUAAUAGUAAUAAUAAUAAUAAUAAUAAUAACUAUAUUAAUAAAAUAAACUAAAAACUUAAAAUGAAAGAUUAUGGAUUAAAUUGAAAAUAAUUGAAGUUUCAGGGGCAAAUCUGAAACAAACAAAACACCAAUGAAUCGAAUGGAACAUGCAGUUAACAGUGGAGGACCGAAAGUCAAAUUAAUCCCUCCGUCCAAAACUCCACGCAGCAAUGGAUUAAAAUAAAACAAAUUCGACAUUUCAUGGCAAAAUUUGAAAACAAACCGCAAUGAUUUUGAACUGAUGGGAUAAAAUGAAGGAUUAAAACGCAAAUAACCCAUCAGUGUUUAAAACCCUUUUCAUCUCCAAUUAAAAGCCUACUCUGCAGCAGCAAUAGACGCAAAGUUGCUUCAUCUUCCUUUUUUCUUUUUUUGUUUUAAAACAACAGAGGGAAGAAAGAGGGAUCUGCUAGGCCUUCUUUAAAGCCCUAACUACCGCCACGCCACCGCCUUUCAAGCUUCGCCGCCGAUUCCGAUUCAGGUAAGUUUCGCCCUUUCCUUUUUUGCCUUUUCUUUUGCACCAAAAACAGAGAAGCAAAGAGAAAAAAAAAUAAAAUAAAUAAAACACAAAGAAAAUUACCUUCAAAAAUUGUUUUUGAUUCUUUGUUUGUAUUUCAGUAUUUUUCCAAUACAAUAUUUUUCUCUUUUUAGUACCCAAUCCCCCUUUUCUUUGUGAUCGAUUUUGGCUUUUUAAAACCGAUCUAUAAAACAUUCAUUUCCUAUUUUUUGUUUUCGUUCUUUUGUUUAUUCUUUUCCCCAUUCCUCGCAUGCUUCCUUUUGCUGUUGUUUUUGUCUCUGUUGCAGGUGUGUCCGGUGGGGGUGGUGCACGUGAUGGCCAAGGGCAGAGGUAGCAUGGGGCGACUGAUCAGAGGCGUGCAUGCGUGAGGGGAGGUGAAGCGGCGGCAGCUACAAAGCAUGAGGCUAGGGUUUUUUUGUUUGGUUGAAAACUAGUAUAGUUUGGGCCAUUCGGGCCUCUAAGGUUUUUAUCAUUAUUGGGCAUUUGGAUUGGGUCUGUUUUUUGGGUUAAUUUUGUUGUAAUGGUCUGUUAAUUUUUAUUAGUCUUGGUCCAUUUGGGUUUUAUGGUCUGGGCCCGGGCAAAAAUGGGCUUUUACACUAAAUAAUAAAAAAUGUUAUUUUGAAAACUUACAUUAAUCCUGAAAAUGUAAGAUUACUUAAACCCAACAGUAGCAUAAACUAAUACUGAUUGCAAUUCCGUUUACUCUUUGUUUGAUGGUUCUCCUAAGGCCUGUAGAAAGAAAGAGGUAAUCUUUUAACAUUAUCAUCCAAAAAUUAGGAUUCCGUUAACAUGAUUGAGAAGAACAAUGAUGAUAUAAUUUAGGGUGUUUAGAUAAUCCAGGGACAUUACCCGCCCAUCUUUCUUUCUCUUGACAAGAUUCAUCAAGUACAUACAUCCAUAUCUUUAUUUUCCCCUGUCCAAAUUUCUGAAAUAUGCAGUUCAAUUUAAACAUCAGAUCCGACACACUUUUGUUUCUCUUUUUUAAAAGGCUGACACAUAUGAACCCGGCAACCAGAGAUGGAGCUUUGUCACUGGAUGGCAACAUAGAUUGCUACCCUUAUGCAAUAACUUUUUGGCCCCCCAACUCUGCUAGUUUCACCAACUUCUUCAUUUUUUCCUAGCAAGAAAAUGACCCAUCAUAGCCUAUGCAAAACAUCAUACUCUAUAGUUUAAUUUGUCAUUAGACAAAAUAAAUGUUGAUUCAUGAGGGGAUUAGUGGAAAUGUUUACAAGAAGGAUAGCAUGUUGAAAAGAAGAAAGCAAAUUAAAAUGAGCUGUGGGGCCUUGGAAGGAGCAAAUGAACUGGUUCUGCUGCCAUUGUACCAUGAUGGCUUUUUACCUUUGAUAUCAUAAGGUUGGGGACAAGUUAAGUUGUCAACCUUGCCUUCGUUGCCCAAGCAAGUCCUGGUUUGAAGAUACGUGGAUAUAUUGCUGGCUAGAUGGUAGCUUGUGCAUAGCCCAUUGUUGCCUCUAACAUCAAGCCUUUUGCCUAGUCUAUUGAUGAAAUCCUGUGGUAGUAGUAGUUCCCCACUUAGCUUGUUAUGACUCAGAUUAAGCUGGUCUAGAUUAGGAAGUGACCCCAAAUUUGAAGGGAUUGUGCCUGUGAGGGUGUUGUUGUCUAGAGACAAGGCAGUGAGGUUCUUCAAUGAUGACAAGGAGUUUGGUAUUGGACCUAUUAACCCACAUCCUGAGAAGCUGAUUGAUAUGAGGCCCUUGAGGGACCCCAUAAAUAAAGGAAUCAAUGAAUUUAUGGGAUUGUAAUCAAAUAUUAUGUACUGUACGUGGUCCAAACCUGAGAGUGUUUCAGGGAUUGGACCAUUGAUGAAGUUAUGGCUCAAAUCAAGCAAUACCAACCUGUUUAGCUUCCCUAGCUCUGGUGGUAUCUUCCCAUGAAUCCUGUUUGAGCACAAAUCAACUUUUUGAAGAUGUUGAAGCUGACCCAAAGCAAAUGGCAACACCCCUGUAAGACCAUUGGAGCUUAACUCCAAAAUGGCUAAACUUUUUAGCCCUUCAAUCUCUUGAGGGAUUUCACCACUUAGAUUGUUGUAACUUAGGUCCAGUUGCUCCAAGUUGACUAGCCAACCAAACUCACCAGGGAUGUUUCCUUGUAGAUUGUUCUGUGACAGGCUCAGUAUCCUUAGCCUAGUCAGAUUCCCCAAGCUUGGAGGAACAUUUCCAGAUAGAGAUGGAUUUGAUUGAAGUGAUAGGUGUUCCAAGGAAGACAAUGCACCAAACAAUGUAGGAGACAAUAUAACAGUUGAAGUUACAAAACAGUUGAAAAUAGAGAGGGUUCUAAGGUAAGGUAGUUUAAGCAAGGAAUCUGAUAUUUUAGCUGAAGGUUGACAAGGUGGGGUGGCAACAUCAGGGCCAAUAUGAAUAGCUGUAACAUGAAAGAUUGGAGGGUCUUGGCCAAUCUCACAUUCAAUCCCAGGCCAUGGAGUGUUGGUGCAUGGCUCCGGGUGCACUUCAGCCCAACCAGGUUCAUCUAGAAGUGAACCUAUAACAUCAAAAAGCCCCAAAAGCUCACCUUCUUCCAUCACAAUAUCACUCUCAUCCAAAUUCCUCUGCAUUGCAAUCGCCACACAAGAUAAAACAAGGAACCCAACAAGGAAAAUAGGAAGAGAAGCCAUGAGAGAACACAAGAAACAAAGACCCGCACACAAAUAUUAAGCAUUCAGAGAGAUUGCAGACUACUACAACAACACCCAGUUGUUGAACAAAAAUAUUUGAUGAGCAAAAAAGAAGGAAACUAAAGGAAUAUCUACCAGUUUAUUGCUUAAACCCCUUCGUGUCAGUGACUGAGGAAAAAAAAGGCUGCUAGCUGUUGGUAUUCCAGAAAUGGGAAGUGAGUGAGAUAAGGACGGUGUUGGUUUUUUACUUGCAUGAGAGAAGAAAGACAGUCACUCUAAGAGAAACAAAUUGUCAGGGGAGUCAAAAUAUAUAUAAAUCAAACAAAAGAAAACAAAAGAAAAAUGGAUUUAAAAAAAAGAAGAAAAGGGCUGUUGUUUAAGCAUGAUUUGACAUGGCUUUUCCUCAGUAUCAACACUGAAGCCGACCCAACAAGCAUUGCUUUUGCAGAGCUACAGUAGCCUCUCUCAGAUUCUCUCGCUGUCGACGCUAUAAUCUCUAUGUCUUUGUUUUUUUACCCUGUUGGUUUGGCUGCACGCCACCCUAGGUGUUUUUUUCUUACCUUUAUAUAGAUGGAAUUACGGAGGUUACAUCUUUUUAAAGAUUCUUUUAAGCUUUGAUAUUUGGUGUUAGAAAAGUGACACAAUUAAAAAAUUGGAUUACUUAUUACCCUUUCAACAACUUAAAAUUUCUUUUUAACUAAAAUAAAGCAAUCACAUCAUUAGGGACUAGAAUUUAAGUAAGACAAAUAUCACAACCUUACGUGAUUGUUAUAUUUUAAAUUUGUUUAAGUCAAUCUAAUUUUUAAUAGAUGAAAAUUCUUAUGAAAAUUCUAUAAAACACUAAAAAAUAACGGAAGCAACUCAAAGCAAAAAAACAACGAAAAAAUUAAAAAGUCAUGAGAAUGUAAUGCACACAAUAUGUUUUGAGUAAAUAUUUUCAAAUAUAUUCUUUUAACUCAAGAAUAAGUAAAGUACAAUACGAUGAUUACGAAUAAUUAGAAAUCUUCUAUUUACAAUUGAGUUCCCCAAAUCCAAUGGUACAGAUUGAAUUACAUCAGCGGCUGAGAUUAAUAUAUAUCUACAACAUGAAAGUCUUAAAAGAUUUAAACUCUAAACAUCUUUAUCCUUUAGAAUUUACAAUACUUACCUUGGUAACUCUAGUUAUACUAGAUUGUUUCAUUUGACCAUCAAUGUUUUAAGCAGAUGAGCUUCUUCAUGUGUUCCACAAAUCGGGUCAGUUCAAGUAGGUUAAAUGAAGCACCAGUUGACCUUUAUGAGAGGCUUUAUAUGCAUUCAUCACAAGUUUUGAUCUACGACUUGUGACAAAUGUGGGCCCCAUGAUUAUAUCUUAAAAAGAGAUUUAAUUACUCAAAAAUAUCGAAAAUAUCUCAAAUUUACAAGAUUAAGCCAAUUUAGGAAAAACGUUUCCAGCUAGAAGCGUUUUCAGAUGAAAUAUAGAAAAACGCUUCAUAAUCAUUUUAAAAAAAAUGGCCUAAUCCUGUAAAUUUCAAAUAUUUUUGGUAUUUUUGAGUAAUUAAGUCUGAAAAAAAUUCUCUUACCCAUUUGUCAAAAGAAAAAGAAAUUGUCUUACCAAAUUAAAUUACAAACACUAUUUUCAUUCAUUAACACGUCAAAUUACAAAUGAAUUAUUAUUUACAUAAGAAGAAUAUACUAAUAGCAAAAAGUUGUCAAUUUUGAUACAAACUUUCAAGUUCAACUAGAUUUUAGCAUGAGAAAUCAUCAACUUGAACUCAAAAUAAUCAAAACAAGUAACUACAAUCUCUAUUCCGAUCAUCCUCAAAAUUUUCGUGAAUAUAAUAUCAAAAUUUUCGUUCCAAUCAACCUCAAAAGGUCGAGUCGUCUUGGUCCAAUCCUAUCCUCUUUGCUCAAAAUCAAUUAUUGGAACUACAAUGUCCUCAUUCCCAGUUUCUAUAAAAAAUGUAUAGGAAAGUACUCCAAUACUCAUUGUUGGGCUUUUUCCAUCUGUCCCGGGACUUUGAGAAAACACAAUAACAUCUGCGCCAAACCUCAUAGUACUUGUCUUGAAACCAUUUCUGCAAUGACCAACGGUAUUUUCCAUUUUACUUUUUAAAGAAUAUCUAAGAGGCAUGUAUUGGUUCAUCUUAUCUAGACUCAUCCCUCCAUCAUUAUCUUCAACUAGCAACAUCUUGUAGUCAUCCUUUUUAUUUUGCGACAUAUCUAUGCUAACAUAUGUAGCUCCAUUGCAAGUUUCAUCUGGUGCAUUGUCCAAAAGCUCAGCAAAGGCUCCAAUAGCCCAACAGUUUCCCUCAAAGAUAAAUGUACUAUUUUUGGAACUUGUACGGACAAAGGUUGCGGCUUGCCCUCCGAUGGAAGUGGAGCCAGAAAUAUUAAAGGCAGUGCAAAACAAGAAUUCUCGAUUUUCAGUUUCUUAGUUGAAUUGGUUGGAGGUAAAAAUUAUUUCCUUACUUUCAUUUUUGAUUAUUCCUGGAAAAUGUGGGUUUUCUUAUUACUUGAGAAAUCAGAAGCAUUUAGUGCAUUUACUAGUUUCAAGGCACUUGUUGAGAAUGAUAUUAGAAAAACCAUUCAAGCUCUUCACACUGACCUUGGUGGAGAAUAUUGCUCUAAGGAAUUUGGAGCAUUUUGUGAAAGUCAUGGCAUUCGGAAAGAGCUUACCACUGCAUAUACCACUCAACAAAGUAGCGUAUCAGAGAGGAAAAAUAAAACCAUACUUAAAAUGGUGAGAAGCAUGCUUACUGGUAGAAAGGUCCAAAAACGAUUUUGGCUAGAAGUAGUAAGUUAGAGCAUCCAUGUCUUGAACAUAAGCCUACUUUUGUUGUUCAAAACAUGACACCUAAAGAAGCUUGGAGUGGAAGGAGACCAGCUAUAAAUCUCUUCAGAAUUUUUGGUUGCGGUUGUUUAUUCACAUGUUCUAGGUGCAAAGAGAAAGAAGCUUGAUGACAAUAAAGAGAAGUGUGUCUUUCUAGGUGUGAGUGAAACAUCUAAAGCAUAUGAACUGUUUAGUCCUUUAACAGAGAAAAUUGUGAUUAGUAGGGAUGUAAUUUUUGAUGAGGACAACUCUUGGAAUAGGGACGACUAGUAACCUUCUUAAACCUUUGUUGACACUGGAAUUGAAGAUGAAAGGUAGCCUUUAGAUCAGCAAACUCAAGUAGCAAUUGAGCUUGAAAAUUCACCAAAUGAACCUCCAAUAGCCAUCAAAGCAGAGUUAGCUGAACCUUAUCCUAAUCGUAUUAAACAAAAACAAGCUUGGAUGGGAGAUUUUGAGGUAACCGGCAUUAGUUAGAAUAAAGAUCUAGUCAUUCACUUUUCCUUAUUUACGAAUUGUGAUCCAACAACUUUUGAACGUACUGUAAAGAAGUAGAAAUGACAAAAGAAAAUAGAUGAAUAAAUUGCAUCUAUAGAGAAGAAUGAUACAUGGGAGUUGAUUGAGCUUUCAGAAGGGCACAGGACAAUUUGUGUCAAAUGAGUGUACAAGACAAAGUUGAAGGUGAAUGGAAAAUUUGACAAGUAUAAGGCGCGCUUGGUGGCCAAAUGUUAUAACCAGGAGCUUGGGGUGGAUUACAAAGAAGUAUUUGCUCUUGUUGCAAGGCAUGAUUCAAUUAGAUUUAUGAUUUCACUUACAGCCUAGUUUACCAGUUGUGCACGUGCGCAAUAAAAUAACUAAUUUUUGAAACAAUUUUUAAAGUUUGAUUUUACUGCAAGUAUACAGGUAAGUUGUAAUAUUUAUAAUGUUACAAUGAAACAUCGAAGUAUUCCAAAGAUCGAACCCAAAGGAAAAGACGAUUGAGCAAUAACUAGCAUACAUAAUAGAAGCUAAGUGGCUACUAAUACGAUUUUAUAUUACGACAAUUCAUAAAAGAUAAGUUUGCAAGAAAAUUAAAUAUUUUACUCUAGGGACUAAAUUGUAAGAAAUGUAAACUAAAGGGACAAUAUAGCAAAUGACUAAUAAAGGUUGGUUGACUUCGACGUGGUUCACCAAAUCUUGGAAUAAGGACAUAAAUCGUGUAAAUUACCAAGUGACUCCAUUUUAUCUUCUGAUCUAAAUUUUAUCGACCUAGAUGAAUUAGGUCCGAUUUAUCUUCCGUUCUCACCAAUUAAUCCAUGACUAACGAACGGGUGUGUGAUAAGAUUACCUUCCGAUCUCACUUUAUCUUAAUAUUUCCUCAGGGACGUCACUACUUAAGUUCUUAGUUCUAUUCAAAUAAGUCCAAUUUAUUAUGAUUUAGUCCUUUGUCUAAACAUUUUAAUUUAUCCACAUCUCUAUUAACCAACCUCCUUAAAGAUUUAGCUACACAUGUUCAAAGUCAAUAAAAUAAACAUAACCAUAGAAAGCAAAGCAGCCAUAAAAGUAAAACUUAAUAAAAAAUGUAAAAGUUAAGAUUUUCAUGCAAGAAAACUUAAAUAUCAUGAAACCAAAAGCAUUUAACAAAUAAAUCUAAAGCAAGAAACAUAAAAGGAACAAGCUUUAAUAGAUUUAAAAUGAAAUAAAUUGAAAUGCAUUAAACUAAAGCUUAAAGAGUCUUGAAAACAAAGUAUAGGGACUAGAAAUUGAAAUAAACCUUAACUAUAGUGCUAACUAACUUAAUUGAAAUGCAUUAAACUAAAGCUUAAAGAAUCUUGAAAACAAAGUAUAGGGACUAGAAAUGUAAAUAAACCUUAACUAUAGUGCUAACUAACUUAAAUAAAUAAACCUUAACUAUAGUGCUAACUAACUUAAAUAACAUAAAAAAAUAAAAAAAAGUAAAUAUAGGAAAAUAGACUCUAAUUAUGUGUGACAAAAUUUUAAAAUUAAAUUUACUUCUACUUGGAAAAAAAAGAAAUAUAUUCUAGAAUCAUGGGUGAUCGGAAAGUGAGAGAUAAUCUGAGAACGAUUUUCGUAUACAAUAUUCCUUACAGGAUGCAUUGGAAAGGAUUAUGGGUGUUAUUCCAAUUUUAUAGGAAUCUAUUGGAUGCUUGUGUUCCAGUUAAGAGAAGCAUGGAGGGUAAGAAUUUUGGAUUUGUAAGGUUUGCUAAUCUGGAGACUGCUCAAAGGGAAAUUUCAAGACUCGAUGGUUUUGUGAUUUUAGGAAAAAAGAUCUGGGUGAAGAUGGCCAAAUUCAGUGGCAAAAGAAAAAUAUGGAAAAAAGUACAGGCAAAGGAAGAUUUAAGCCAAAUGGAAGUGAUGCAGUCGAGAGGGAUGGAGCAUCAGAAAGAGGCAUGGGAUAAAUCAAAUAGCAAUGUGAUAUACAGAAGGCUAAAGUCAAUAGAAGUGGAAAGAACAGGGAUGAACAAAUUAAAAGUUGUUUAAGGCCAUGUUGAGAAUGAACAACUUUGGAAGCUAUAGCGUUGCUUGGUAGGGGAGACGACGUCUUUCUGCAAUUCAAAUAGUUUGUCAGAAAGAAUAGCUAGUUUGGGCCUUGGAGAAUUAAAUGUCAAGAGAGUUCAAGGCAUAUACGAAAGAAUUUAAAGAAUAGCUAGGUUCCUAAUGGUGAGCUUUUGAAGAUUUUAAAGCAAAGAGACUGGGCAUAUCUGAAAGAAUUUUUCAUCAAUAUAGAGCCAUGAUCGGAAAAAUUUAAAGUUAUGGAAAGGGCAGUUUGGAUCGAAGUUGCUGGGAUUUCACUUCAUUGCUGGAACUACCAAACGUUUAAGAGAGUGGUUGAUUUAUAAGGAGAGAUAAUUGCUAUGGGUGAAAAUAUAACAAUGGCUAACAACUUUGAAAAGAUGGAUAUUCUGAUCUUAACAAAGCAAGCUCGUAAACUCGAAGAACUGAUAAUGCUGGAGGUUGGCAAUGAGACAUUUCCAAUACGUAUAAAAGAAAGAGGUCUGGUGGAAAAAAACAAAUGAAAAUAAAUAAAUAAAAAGAUAUGGGGAUCAAAUGGUGAGAGAAGAAGUUGCUUCACCGGAAGUGGAAUCGACAAACAAAUCGAAACUGAAAUUGUCACCGGAGGGAAGACAAAACAAUGAGGUUGAAGGAGUUACAGAGACAUGCCUUGAGAAUGAAAGAAAUGAUAAUGGGGUGCAGGGUAUGUCGGCUGAGGCAUUUAAUGUGGAAACUAACUCUUUUUGUAACGUGAUGAGUGUUCCUGUAGGAGGGAAGGCAAAUGUUGAUUUAUCUAAUCAGGGCAUUGAAGAUUUAAAUAAUAUGGGCUUGGCAUUGGGUUUGGGUUAGAAUAUAGGGAUGGAAACUUAAAUUUCGAAGGGUAAUGAAAUGGGCUUUAAUGAGAAUGUUAUGCAGUGUACAGACAAUGAAGAGAGCCUAAUGUUAAAUCAAAUUUCAUCUUGUUUUUUAGAUACAAAGAAUCAAAGGGAUUAGGUUACAGCAUUUGAUAUUGAAGAGGAAAUUCUCCAAAUUAGACAAAGCAGCUGAAUAAGAAGAGUAGAUCUAUGAGAGAUAUUCAGGACAUAGUAUUCACAAUGAAAGAGAAGAAGAAGAGGGAAGGGGAGCAAGAAAAUCGAAAGGAAAAGGUGUUUCUAAGAACAACGAAAGUAUUGCAAAUUUGUCGUUAUCGGAUUCAGACAUCAGCAACAGAAGAAAAGUUAUCUUAAGAGAAGUGAAGAAGACAUGGGAGGUAGGGAAAAUGCUGGGAUUUAGUGUGCAAGGUGAUGAGAAGAUAGUUAUCGAAGAGAUAAUGAGGGUUGAAGAAAAUCAAUAGGGAGCAUUCAAAAACUGAGGGUUGGGGGUUUUCAAGAUUCUGGUGAGUGGUUUUUUUUUUUGUUUGUUUUCUUUUUAAUUGUUCAAUUUGGUCAGAAAUAUGCGAAUUGUCAUCUGGAACAUUAGAAGGUUGGGAUCGGUAGCUAAAAUUGAUACUGUCAAUAGAUUAGUGAGAAAGACUAGGUUUAAUGUAUGUUUCCUUCAAGAAACUAAAUUAGAAAUGGUGUCAGUAGAUUUAGUUAGAAGAAUUUGGGGUGAUGACUGUUUUGAUUUUAAAUUUUCUACUAUUAUUGAAAGAUCAGAGGAUUUAUUAACUAUUUGGGAUAAGGGUAGGUUUGCGGUCGAUGUAGAGUUUUGUGGGAAGAGGUUCAUUGUAGUUGAAGGUAAAUGGGUGAAUGAAGGGAAUGAGACAGUUCUGAUUAAUAUAUAUGCUCCCAACAAUCUUUCAGAUUAAAAAAUUCUGUGGGAUAAGAUAUUCGGAUUGAGAAAUUAAUUUAGUAAAGCAUGGAUAAUUGGUGGGGAUUUUAAUGUGGUGAGAAAUAGAAGUAAACGUAUAAAUUGUUGGGGGCAUUGAGAAGGGUGCGAAAGAGUUUGGAGAAGUUAUUGAUAGAUGUAAGCUGGUUGAUUUGUCGUUAUUGGGAAAAAAGUUCACUUGUAUUGGUUCGGACGGUAAACGUAGUAGAUUGGACAGAUUUUUAAUUAAGGAAAAUUGGUUUGUCCAUUUGAAGGACUUACAACAGCAAAGUCUUAACAGAUCGAUAUCAGAUCAUAUUCCAGUCUCUUUGGUAAACGAAUCUAUCAACUAGGGACCAAGACCAAGUUCAUUAAUACAUGGUUUAAAAAGGAAAAAUGUAUGAGAUUAAUUGAAAUGGAAUGGCCGGGAAUGGGUUGUUUAAGGGGAAAACAACAGUUAAAUUUUGUAAACUGAAGGGAGCUCUUACGAAAUGGAAUGUUGAUGCUGGCAAUAUUUUAGAAAAGAGAAUUAUUUAAAGCGAAGAUAGGAUAAAGGAGAUAGAUGAAGCAAGCGAACAAAGAAAGUUGACUGAGCUGCAAAUGGUUGAGUUAAAAAAGUUGAACAUCAAGCUUUGAGAAGCAAUAAAAUUUAAAGAAUCUAUUUGGCGACAAAAAUCAAGGAUGACAUAGUUAAAAGAAGGGGAUGCCAACAGUGUUUUUUUCCAUGGAGCUGUUAAAAUCAAAGGUAAAAGAAAAAUGGUUUACAAUUUAAAAAUUGGGGGUCGGUCAUACAAGGAACCUAAGGAGAUGAGAGAUGGGCUGUACAAAAUUUUCAAAAACUAUUUUGAUUGCCCUGCAAGAAGAUGGAAAAUGGAAUUAGAUUUGAAAUUCAGAAAACUUAAUGAGGAAAGGGCUUUGAAAUUGGAGGAAUCGUUCUCGAUAGAAGAGAUCAAAGAGGCAAUUUGAAGUUGUGAUGAAUCUAAAGUGCCUGGUCUGGAUGGUUUUAAUUUGUGUUUUUUUAGAAAAUGUUGAGAGAUUGUAAAGAUGGACUUAUAUGGAUUGAUGUCUGAUUUUUUCAUAUCCGGAAAGCUUGAGAAGAGUAUUAACUCUUCAUUUACCACACUCAUUCUGAAGGUGGAAAAUCCAAAUGAAAUAUCAAAUUUUAGGCCAAUUUGUUUGGUGAGUUCUUUGUAUAAGAUUGUGUCAAAGGUGUUGUCUUGAAGGUUAAGGGAGGUAGUCAGAGAGGUGAUGAGUGACACACAAUGUGUUCUUAUCAGAGGUAGACAGAUUUUUGAUGGAAUUUUAAUAGCAAAUGAAUUAAUUUAUUCGGUUAAGAAAAAAGGUGGAUACGAGGGCAAUAUAAUUUUUAAAUUCGAUUUUUCUAAAGUAUAUGAUUGCGUUCGGUGGGAUUUUUUGGAGUUAGUGUUAUUCAAGAUGGGGUUUGGUAAAAAAUAGAGAAGAUGGAUAAUGGAAUGCCUAACUACGGUGCGAGCAACAAUUAUCAUUAAUGGAUCAAUAUCAAAUGAAUUCAGAUUUUGCAGAGGCUUCGUCAAGGAGAUCUACUAUCUUCAUUCUUAUUUAUUUUAGUGAUGAAAGUUCUUCAUUUGGCGUUGGAUAAAGCUGUAGAGUUAGGAAUAAUCGAAGGCUUUCAAAAUGUUAUUCCGGGUCUAAUUUUUUCUCAUCUACAAUUUGCGGAUGACACAAUUCUAUUCUUGAGAGCAGAUGAAAUAGAGGUUUUAAUCAAGUGAAAAUGUUUAAAGCUUGGCGGUGAGUUUUUGUUUUGUUGUAUUCAUAGGUUUAUUAGAGUUGGAAUGCGUUUUAAUUUUGAUUGCUGUAAUACUGAAAUUUUUUGUUGUUGUUCUGUUCGUCUUUGACAACAGUACACUUCAAAUGAAGCAAAAAAAAUAACUCUAAUCUAAGGUAGAAGAAGAGAAAAAUAAGAACCUUAUAAAAGUGUAAAGAAAAACUAAAGAAAACCUAUAGAAAACUUAGAAAACUAAACCUAAACUAAACUAAAAUGUCUCUCUCCUCAGUAAUUUUUAGCUGUUUUGAAGGGUGUUAUAAUGACUUUUCGAUGUCAAAAUUGCCCCUACACGGGCCUUGUUUGAUUGGUGGGUCGGGUAGACAAAAGUUGUCCUUUUUGUCCAAGUUUGUCUCUUUGAUGAAGGUGAUAUCCCGAUAUCCAGAGGAAGAUAUCGUGAUAUCUCGAGCAAUACCGAACUUGGGAGUCUUCUUUAAGAGGUGGAUAUCGCGAUACCCGAGUAGGAUGUCGCGAUACCAUUGAAGGGUAUCAUUGGUCUUCUAUACUGUCUGGGAGGUCGCAAUUCCAAGGGUUGAAUAUUGCAAUUCCUAGUAAAUAGAGGAAUAUACAAUUUAUAAAUAUUUUAAAACAAACUUACGCACUAUAGUGUUAUUACCUUCAUACAUAGAUUCAUUCAAUUAGAUCAAUCAGUGUACAAUUGAUUUCAUAACCCAUUCAGUUACGUUAGUAUUAGAGAAAUGUACAAUUGAUCAAUACUCUUCAAAUUACUUGUACACCACAAUGUUAGUAUAUUCAUAUAUAGAUCUGAUUCAAUUGGUUCAAUGUCAUAAGCAUUCAAUUACGUUUGUAGUUAAAGCAAUUCAUAAUUGAUAAAUACUUUUAAAUUGAUCAAAUAUUUAAAAUAUUGAUAUAUUCCACUAUAUGGUAUUGAAUUCCAAACAUGUAUACUCAAUGUUAUGUUUACAUGGACCGAUUGGAUUGAUGAUUGUACGAUUAAUUAUAACAAUUUAUUCAAUUGGAACAUUGGUUAUACAAUUAAUGUAACAGAUUAUUCGGUUGCGCCUCAAACUAGAAGAAUAUACAAUUGAUCAAUACUUUUAGAAAUACGUAUAUGUAAUGGGCCAAUUUAGCCGGGGCCCACUUAGAACCAAAACCCAAAAUAAAUACCAAAUUAUUAAACCAAAAGUCCAAAGAAUGAAACCAAACUAAUAAUCUAUCAUAAAGGCCCAAAUAUUACAACCAAUAUUGAUACCCAAUGCCCCAUAGCCCAAAUACAACGGCCCAAUAGCUGGAACAGACCCAAACGGCCCCAAAAAUUGAGUCAAGUUUCGGCAAACCCUAAGUCACCCCUCUCUCCUGCGCCUCAACAGCAACUGGGCAAUAGACCCAUACCUCCACUACAGCAGUCCCAUACCUCCACAGCCCUCGUACGCCACGCCCCCACCCCGUGCGCAUGCCAACAGACUCUGUACCUGCAAGAAAGAAACAAAAACAGCAGCGAAUGGAAACAAAUAUAUUGUAUAUUUUCGGUUGAUUUCCUUUUUCGACUACAAAAGCCCAGCUUUUAAUCUUUGUAAAGGGAGGAGAUUACACACUCUACGCACACAGAAUAGACUCUACGCAUACAAUAUCUGUAUGCACGCACAGAAAAGAGAGAAAGGUGCAUUUAGAUCAAUAGAGGUGAUUUCAUUUUUUUUCUCUUCCGAUUUUUUUCCCCUGUUUUUUCUUUUCUCUUUAUUUUCUUAUUUGUUUGCUCCUUUUUAUGCAACUAAAGGCUGAUGAAAGCCCUAAAUUUGUCAUGCGAGUAUAAGGGCGAGAGGUCACAUAAUAGUGGAAAUCUAUUCAUUUUACAAAUCUAUUUUUAUUUUUUUUAAAUAACAUGAGAUUUGAAAGCUUCAUUCAAAUAAAGAAGAAAGAAGGGAAAAUACUUACCGAAUCCUUUUAGAUCUGGUCGAGUUCCUUUAACGGCAAGAUUGGGCACGUCUCGCUUACUGGUAAUCACCUAAAAUCAUGGUGGUUUGGCAGUCAAGUGGAGGAAACCCUAAAAAAUUUGAUUUUAAAGGCUGGAAUUUCUUUUGAUCUAAAAUAGAGGCUGCAUUUGGGGAAAAGAAAUAGAAGAAAAGGGGUCUUAAAUGACCAUUUAAUAAAAUGGCACAGUUUUAUGGAGUAAGGUCCACGAGGUGACUCAUUUGACAGGCCCAAUCUGCGCAUUACCACUCAAAAAUGGGGAAUUUGCGCAACAAAUCCUUCCCCUUGCGCACAGCCUUCAAUUUGCGCCCAAUUCGCCUACCUUGUGUUUUAAAAUUUGGCCUACUAAUUUGUGCUUUAUUUCACUUUGAUCCGCGGUUACUUGCAGCAUUGUAGGCGCGAGAUAUUUACAAAUUCAGUCCCCAUACAUUUAUGCGCUUUGAGC
rnacentral:lncRNA from 1 species